GCUUGUGCUUGUGUUUUCUUUUCAUCUUGUGUUUUCCAGGAGCUGGUGCUGGGGAAGGCACUAAUGAUGGUGAGGGGGCUGGUGGUGGAAUAGCUGGUGCUGGCACAGGUGCCGGUGGUGGUGUUGCUGGUGCGGGUGCAGGUACUUCCUUAGCUGGAGCUGGUGCUGGUGGUGGUGUUGCUGGAGCUGGUGCUGGAGACACUUGUGGUGGCGGUGUAGCUGGUGGUGGUAUUGGAGUGGCAGCUGGAGAACUUUGUGGUGGUUGUGGUGGUGGAACUACUGGGGUGGUAGCUGGUGCGACUUUAGGAGAUGGUGAUGAUAUAGGAGUGGUUGCAGUUGGGGGUGUCACUGCACUUGCUGGUGAUUGUGUUGGAGUGGUUGGUGUGGUUGUGGGUGGAGGUGUGGUGGUUGUAGGUGUUGAUGGCGAAACAGCUGGUGUUUGGGCAUCAGUAAUAGCUAGUGGGAAACUCAGACAUGCCAAGAUGAGAGCCCAAAGCACCGAAGCCAUUUAGUUGUGAUGAGAAUCAACAGGAAGACGUAACAUUGUUAUAUAGAGUUAUGGAAAGGCUUUUAAAUUUAGUAAAUGUUUGGUGGAAUGUUAAGAGGGAGAGAUGUUGUCUUCAUUUGAAUGCGACAUCCCUUCUAAUGAUCUGGAGUGAUGUCGUAUUCGGACAGCUCUGCAAUUGGCUGGUCCUAUCAACCAAGAUUUGGGGCCUAAAAUUGAGAAAUCUUGCUGAAGAAAAAAGAUGUACUGCUUUAAGUUUUAGCUAUAUGGAUGCAGUUAUUUGUGUUGAUAGGAUUGUCAAUGGUUGUGCUGUGUUUGAUUUUUUGCUGUGCAUUUUCAACUCAUUUAGAACCGAGCACGAAGAGUGAAGGCUCUGGAGUUUCUUUUUCUUCAAGGUGGAAUGUCGUAAUUAGGCAAUAUGUGUUUGCUUUUUACUAGAAUCUUGAAACUAACAAAAACUUGAAUCACGAGUUUAUAUUUUAUGAUCAUAAUUUCCGCAAUCAUCGAUAUGUUGUGGUAAAUAUGGCAAAAUGGCUGGACAAGUGAUGGAGUGAAAUGAGAGGGAGGCAAUGCAGCCGGCAAUCCGGGCUAACCUUUCACCUACUCAGCAGAGACCACGAUGUCGAUCCUAACACAACCUAAACAUUGGUAAGCAGUCCCUGUCCGAUUUAAGGAAAGAAAGGUCAGGUUCCCUUUUCUUCCUUUCUUUUUUUGUUGGUGUUUAAUAUUAUAGUGCAUGGUAUUUUAAAAAAAAUAUUUUUAACUUGAAAAUAUACUAAAAUUAUUUUUUUCCAGAUUUUUAUUUUUAAUAUCAUCAAAACCAUUGGAAAAUACAAAAAAUAUCAAUUUAAUAUUUUUUAAAAUUAAGUACAUCCAAAUACAAUUUCAAAUACGGAAACAAAUUGUGCCUACUCAGUUAAGGACUUUUGUUAGUUCACGGAGCACUCUCCGAUCGAGUUUGGAAAGUCGUAAUCAAAUGCAUAAUGCCCAACGCAGGAGCUGAUAAUUGUCAUACCCACAAGUUCAGGCUUGAGACCAUCUGUUGCCAGAUUCUAACCACCCACAAUUGGGAAAGCAAAUUGUAUCAAAUUAUCAACUUUCAUAACUUGGGGCUGUUCUGCCAACCUGACGAUAUCCACCAGUCUCUGCCAACGAAACCCCCCCCCCCCUUUUUUUUUUUUUUUCCACAACGGACAUACAAAAUUUCUGCAGUUACAAUUACAGAUUAUAACUCAAAAGGGUUUACACUUUACAGUGGUUUGCCACAGCUGAUCUAUGACAAUUGCUACCGCAGGCCCACAUGGAAUCAAGAUAUCUGGGCCCUGAGGACUGAUAUCUGUGACUAUUUUCAAUGAUAUGAUUAUCUCUCAAUGUUAAUAAAAGGUUUUAUUCCCAAGUCAUUUUUCACCUUUAGACGUGGCGAUUUGAAGUUUGUUGGAUUUCAUAUUCUCAUAAAGACACCGAAUAUAUAUUCAAUUGGAUUGAAAGAUAAUACAGUUUCCAGAACGUUUUUUAUUAACUUACUUGAUGGUGUUCUACCAUCUCUUACAAACAGAACAUGGCAUGGAAGAUAUCUUGCAUCUUACCGAGGAUUUUAGAUUGUGGGUUUGUUAUGGGAAGACAUGAAGGUUGAGGAGGGGAAUCUUCUUUCUUCUCCUUUUUCCUUCUCCUAAGCUGGAAAAAUUGCUGCAUUACAUCUGCACACUCCAAUUCCAAUAUUCCUCGCCGGAUUGCCAUCUUUGGAUGGAAAGGAUGGACUGGAGCGGCUGGCUUAUCUGCCAGUUCUGAGCCAUUUCCAUCUCGUCCAUCAGGAAAAAGCCUGCAAGGAUUGUCACACAGGAAACUUUUGGGAAUCAUAAGCCUCGGAAAUUUCUGUUAUGAGUCGGCUGAAUGCCUGAUCAACUUGAAUCUAACUAGCGUGUGAAUGGUGGUUUGUUCUAUCCUCUAUACCACCAACCACCCCCCCCCCCCCAAUUCUAGCAGGGAUUUACUUUGUGGUGACUGGAACAAGCAGAGAUUCAUGUAAUACCAGCAGCCAUUUCAGAUAAUGGCUAUGGAAACCAAUUUAUCAUUUUCUUCCCAAUAAAAAAAAUAUAAUAAGAAAUAAAUGACUGAUUUAAUAAAUGUGCUCUAUUAAUUAUGUUUUGAUCCACGGAUGCAUUGGGAGCACUAUGAACAUUGAUGACAGAAACAGGAUAGGGGAACAAUUCAAAAGGAAGAAAAUGUGCCAAGUGUAUCUAAGUCUAAUUAUAUUGUAAUGGCAAGGCAAUGUUAACCCUUUCCCAUUGGGACAUAAUGUAUGGUCAGAUCACUUUAAUAACCAUUAACCAGUCUCAGCAUGGACGGACCAAAUAAGGCAUUUCUGUUUUGAAACGAAUUUGGCACUCAUAAUUUUUAUCAAGUAAAACACUUUAAGAACAAGGCUUUGAUUCUUCAUAAAUAAUAGUCAGAUGUACAAAAGACCAGUCUCCCAUUUCAAUGAGAUUUCAAGGAAGAUGAGCUUACCUAAUCCAGCUUCCAUCAGCUCCAAGAAGCUUAUUGGGAGCUCCCCAUACAAGAGUAUUUAUUCUUGCUUGAAGUAUUGCUCCAGCACACAUAGGACAUGGUUCAAGUGUUACAUAAAGAGUAGUCUCCUGCAAAUCAAAUCAUUAAGCCCUCGCUGUGAAUAUCAGCAGAGUUAGAACAGUUCCUUGAAAAGUGAUUUCCACUUUGAAAGUCAGCUUUCAUUUGAUAAGAUAUAAUUUUCUUAGUAUCUUUUCCUUUCGUAUGUAAAACUUAGUCAUUGAAGAGGUUAAAACAGUUUGAUAAUGACUAAACUAGUUAAGAGUGAAUGCAUUAAUUAAUAAUUAUAGUUUCUUUAUGACAUUGAUUAUUUCAAAAGAAUCGAGGGAGUAAAUAAAAGCUUUCAAAACAAAGAGAAAGUACCGAAAGCCUCCAUGACCGGAGUUGAUUUGAUGCCUCCCUAAUGCAAAUCAUUUCUGCAUGGGCGGUGGAGUCUCGUAACUCCUCCACUCUGAAAUAUAAAUCUCCACAUAAAACCCCAAAAUAAAGAAGCACAAUAUAAGGUUUUAAUCACAAGUGCAUACAACUUACAGGUUGUAGCCACGAGCAAUAAUCUUCCCAUGAUGCACCAUCACGGCCCCAACAGGCACCUCCCAAGAAUCGGCAGCCUUCUUGGCGUCUAGCAGGGCUUCCCUCAUAAACAUUUCAUCAAUUUUCCGCUGCUCACUUUCACAUAAAUAAGCCUCUUCCCAUUCAUUGAAUCUGUCUCUCCCAACUUGCUCAUUUCGUUGAAGCUUCCUUUGUUUCAACUCCACACCCUUCCCCUCAGAGCCUGCUACUUCAAUUAACUUUUCACUAUCAGGUCGCUCCAUAAGCUCCAUUGAGCCACUAACAGAAAUAUUAUUUUUAGCAGCACCAAAACUUUCUUCCACAAUGGGACCACUUGUGCUAGAAGGCGGCGAUAAAACUAGUGAUGAUUCCCCUACUUCCAUGCUAGAUGUAGCAACUUGAGAAUUGUUCCUAUCUUGACUACAACCAAGGUUUUCCUCUUCAGAAGGUGAGGAAAUACCUUUUGACGUGAACCCAAUUUUUAAUGUAAUUGAAGGAGAUGAAGUGUCUCCUUCAAGCGGUCUUAUUACGUUCUUUGAUCCAAAUGUGUCAGAUGCUUUUACCUCAUCUGGACUAGAAGUCUGUGUUAGUUGCAGCUGGUGAGAAGAGGCAGCUUCCUUAGGCAUACUUUUUCUUUCCCUUUUCAGAUUCUUAUCACUGAUUUCAUCAGGUUCAUGGCCAGAAAACCAUGCUUCACUAGUAACAGAAUCAUUUGACAAACUCUUUCCACCUGAUCUUCGAGUUGAUUUAGGGGUUUCAGCAUGUGAACCCCAGCGCAGUCGUACUAUAUUUGAGAUGAUAUUCCACAUGGACCUUCCAGUUCUCCUAACAACAAUACUCUUGAUUGCUGUGCUACCUGCUGGUGCUUCUGUCUCUGGAGGUUCCUGAACAGACGGGUUUGUUACAUUCCACAUUUCAUCUGAAGGACCCUUCUCUCCAGAGUCCCCAGAUGAUUGCAUUGAGUCCUGCCUCUUCAACUGUAAGUCUUUAGUAUCAUAUUGACUUGAACUCUUUCGCCUCUGCUUCUCAACUUCAUAUGCCAACUUUGUAUCAGAAACUGUCUUCUCCUUUUGGAUUUCAGAAGUUGACACUUCAUGCCUAGCUUUCUCAACAAACUCUCCAACAAACUGCAUUGAUGACGCCUCUAAACGAUGAGCUGAACCAAGAGCAUCUUCAGUCAAGGUAAGAUUUGAAGCCUCCCCAUAUAUCUCAUCUUUCUUAUUUCCACCAUAUUUUUCCUGCUGGAAAACUGCAGUUCUCCUUCCAGAAUUUCUAUACAGAGUACUAGAGCCACAUUCCAAAGAUUCUCUGGAAUCCUCUUGAUUUGCGAUCCCACCAGAUGAAUUAAUAUGAAAUGAACCUCGAUCUAACAAUUGAGGUGAGGGAAGCAUCGUUAUUGUCUGUGAUGUUCUUUCAUUCCCCUCCCCCACAUCAACCUGUUGAAUUCCAACUUUGGAAACCAUAUUUGCAGAUGCUUGAGAAUCAAAGGCCUCCUGUGAAGUUGUUUCAUGAAGCCUUAAUUUGUUAGUAGCCCUACAAACCUCACUUGAAGAUUUGGACUGAGUGAGAUUUUGCUCAAUUUUAUCGUCUCUCUCCCUUGUCUCGCAAAUGGCUUUCACAGCUGAUGUCAAUUCAUUUUCUUGAUCAAAAACUCUCUUUCCAGAAGUUCUGCCAAAAUUGGUGACCAUUGUCAUAUCGCUUGCAUGGACCAGUGACACAUUGGUGAAAUCCAGAGAUAUAUUGGUGGCAUCUCCAGAUACCUUGCUGGAUUCAGUUCCCUGAAGAGCUUUUUGAUCUGUGUGCGACUGGUGCUCUUUUGCUUCGGUACCUGAUCUAGAAACAACACUUUUACUUACCUCCUGCUGCUUCAUUCUAGUUUCUGAUAGUAGAAUCGAAGUCUUUUUGUUACUACUGUCAUGAACUUCUGAUAUUUUAGAUAACUGUUGUGAACUUCUUCUUGACUGAACCUGUCCACUUGUCUGCCCACCCAUUUGGAAUUUUUGCUCAUUUGUCUCAUAAAAUGAUCCUAGAGCUCUAUCUUCUACCAGAAUCUUCAUUCUAGACUCAGAUUGCCUCUGCAAAUUUGAAACUCUUUCAGUACUGGCAUUCUCAGUUGUUGAUGUGUCAAUGAGUUGGUGAGUGGCUCUUCUUAUAUUGUUUUUUGCAGCAGUUUCACCAACUCUUUUAUAACGUUCAUCCCUUCCUUCCCAAACCAAAUUUGCAUCCACUAGAUUUUCUUCUCUACCACUGAACCGCUUCUGGGAUUGGGAAGCUUUUUCAACAUUUAUUCCACUCCUCUCCUGUUUAUUGGUAAUUUCCUGGUAACUUCUUCUGAAUUCAGAUUGCUCUUUGACUUGAUCCCCCAUCUGACAAUAUCGCUUUCUUGUUUCUUUCUCCAAAUUAACCGCCAAACUUUUCUCAUCCUCAUUGCCAAUCUGGUUAUGAGAACUUGAUACCUUCCUGUAAUCACUUUCAUGGUUUCUCGCCAUUCUUGAUUGCAUUUGUGAGGAUUCUCUUUCUGAUUGUGUUUCUUCAAUCUCAGUAAGUUUCUUCUCAGAUUUCUUCCUCGGAUCCCACUCAACACCAGUCCUUCUUGCACUAGUUCUCGCUUCCAGAACCUCCCCCUUCCACUCUGUGCCAUCUCUAUGCCUCCUAAACUCUUCCACAACUUGCCCCUCUGAUCUACCCUCUCCACUUCUUAAUUCCUUCCUGUAUCCACUUGAUGAUUCUUUGGGACAAUCAACAUAUUCAUCCAGAGAUUCCGUGUCACUCUCAAUAUCUCCUGCAGAAGAAAGUGAAUAAAAUGACGAAAAACUAGAGCUCACUCUCCUUCCCCUGUGAUUCUCCCCUUUUGAAACCGCUUUCUUUUCUUCCUUUUCUUUCUGGUCUUCCAUCUCUUCCUUCCUCAACUCAACUUUAGCUGACUCAAAUUCACAUUUUGCAUCACCCUCCAAUGAACUGAGCCCAACAUUCUUCUUCCUCCUCCUCCCCUUGCGAGUUCCGCCACUGUGAUUCCCCCUCUUCACCAUUUCCACUCUCUUCGACAAACCCCAAUAUCUCUCCCCGUCACCUAAACACUGUCCACUCACUUCCUCGCUCAACAAACUAAUCACAGUCUCUGCAUCAUUAACCCCACUAAAACAUCGCCUUCCGCGCAAUCUUACCCCCCCAAUCCCUCCCUUCCUUCUCCUAAGAAUUUUCUCACUCCCAUUAUUCUCCUUAAAACAACAACCAUGAUCAACACCAUAAUCCGGGACGCGGUAAUAAUCCCUACCCAUCCCACCCAAGAUCAACCUUCUAGAAGCUGAACAUUGAAUAAGACUAGCUUGCCUCAACCCAAAAAAAAAACCUGGGUUUAUUGGCACUCUAUGUAAAGUAGCAGUAGUAGUGAAUGAUGACGAUGCACAACAAGAACAAGAAAAGCAACAACAAGAACCACAUGAUGAAGAACAAGAUUGUAAUAAAAAUGGGUUUCCUUCAUUUAAUGAGUUAGAGUAUUCAUUGAAAGAAAAUGAAAGUGGCCCUUUCGUUCCAAGAGACAAAGAAGCUAAGCUAAUGUAAGUGUUGGGCAUCUUUUCUUUUCCAAUGUUAUAGAGAGAGGCUUACCUUAAUGGAUUUUGUGGAGUUUUUUAAGCUGAAACUGGGAGUGAAACCAUGUGAGGUGUUCUGUUUUGGAACUGGUUUCAUGAUUUCUACUUUCGGUUGAGAGAGAGCUAGUGAUUUUGAAUCCGAUGAGUUGACUCUCUCUGGGUUGGCUUAACUCGGUCGCCUAUACAGAGUGAAACAAACUGGGCUGCUGGCUUUUCAUGUGGUUGCACUUAACCAAACACUACUGGGCCUUCAAUGUAAUACUAAUUGGGCUCUGAUCUAAAAUUGUCUUCUUAAGAAGUCCAAUCCAUCCAGCCCACUAUAAAGACUGAGUUUUUGUGCUUUUACUUGCCGAAUUAAAGUCUCUUUUAUUAACUAGUAAUCAUUAUUGAUCGGCGCUAUUCCGGGUCAAUUUAAAAUUUUAUUAAUAUAUAAAAAAAAUAUUUAUUGUUAAUAUUUUUCUAGUAUAAAAAAAUUAACUGUGUGGAGGUUAAUUUGAUAUAUCCUGAUCACCUUGAUGGAUCUAAAAACAAUCGAAACAACGUAAAAAUAUAGUUUGAUUCAUAAAAAAUCAAGAAAAUAUUUUUAAAAAAAUAAUAUUGAAAUAAAAAUAUAUUGGAUCAAUCCGGGUCAACCCGAGUUAACCCCAUAUAAAGCAAAUCAAAAUAAAUUAUGAAAUUUAAUUCUCAAUCAACCCAAUGUUGAAGAAUGAAAUUGAAAAAAACUAAUAAAAAAAUAAUUGAAUUAACCUAUCAAACUCGUGACCCGGAUUAUGAGAUUAUGAUAACCUUAUAAAAAGUAAACAAAAAAAUGAUAUAGGUCAAUUUAGAUUAAUUUUUCAAACUCGCAACUAAAGUCAUGAGACUCGAAUAACUCCAUAAAAAGUAAAUCAAAAUAAAUUAUGAAUCUCGGUUUUUAAUAAAUCUAAUAUCAAAGGUUAAAAAUGAAAAAAAAACAAUUUAAAAACAUAACACGAUAAAACAACGUGAGUUGCAUGGGAUAACCCGCAAAACAUAUUACCUGAAUCAUAAGAUCAAGAUAACCUUAUAGAAAGCAAACUAAAAUAAAACAUAAAGUCUAAUUCAUAAUCAACCUAAUAUUAAAAGAUGAAAUAGAAAAAAAAUAUCAAUUAAAAAAUAUAAAAAAAAUACUCGAGUCAACUAGAUUAACUCGUCAAACUCAUGACUUAAGUCAUGAGACCGAUAUAACCUUGUAGAAAAUAAACCAAGAUAAAUCAUGAAGCCUAACAUCCAAUCAACUCAAUGAUAAAUGAUUAAAUUGAAGAAAAAUAUCAAUUAAAAAACAAAACUCGAGUCAACCCGUCAAACUCGUGACACGGGUUAUGAAACCAAGCUAACAACGUAUAAAGCAAACCAAAAUAAAUUGUGAAGCAUAAUCUUUAAUAAACUAAAUAUUAAAGUAUGGAAUUAGAAAGAAAAAUAGAUUUAGAAAGAAAAAAAAACUAUUAAAAUGAAUAGUAUUUUAUAAUACAGUGUAUAAUAAAUACACAAUCUCUCUUAAUUUAUACUAUAUUAAUUUUAUAUAAGUUAGAAAAAGUUUAUAAUACUCCAGGAUUAACUAACGAUGGCUACACUAUCAAUCCUCCUUAAAGAUACAGACAAGUAAAUAAACAAAAGAGAUAUGUUUAUUAAAAAAUUAUUUAUUAAAAUAUUUAUUUAGAGUUUAAUUGGAGAUGAUAAUGUAAAAAGAAACUCACUUAUGAAAUGAAUCAACAUCCAAUUAUGAAAAGUUAUGCUGCUUGCAAAAUAAAUUACAAGAUUGUGUACGUACUCUUGUUAUUUUAAUUAUACAUGGGAUUUAGAUAAUAAUAUCAUUUAGAGGAUAAAAAUAAUGAUUUUGAUGAUUUAUCGUAGUAGUAGAUUAAUACUAUACAUGUGUUACGAGAAUAUACUCGAUGAUGUUUUCUUAAGAUAAAAACAUAAAAUCUCAAUGGCUUUUAAUUUUUUUUAUUUUAAAUUAAUAUGUUUUUAAAUUAUUUAAUAUACUCGAUGAUGUUUUCUUAAGAUAAAAACAUAAAAUCUCAAUGGCUUUUAAUUUUUUUUAUUUUAAAUUUAAUGUUUUUAAAUUAUUUUGAUAUAUUGAUAUAAAAAAUAACUUUUUAAAAGUAAAAAAUAUUAUUUUAAUAUGUAUUUUAAUAUAUUUUAAAAUAAAAAAUACUUUAAAAAACAACUACAAUCAUAUUUCUAAAUUUUAACAACGGAACUGUUUUUUUAAAAAAUAUAGUCCUGUACAGUACUGGCAAUCUAGAUAUAAAUUAAAUAAAUAUUUAAUCGAUUGAUUAUUCAUCACUGGAUACCUAAUUUCUCUGUGCCUAAUAAAAAGUCAGCAAUUCUGUUUGAUAACUUCAAAUCAAGCAUGGUGCCGGCCGGCCCGUGGAAAAAAUCAUGCAUGGUGGCUAUGGCUAACAAGCACCUUCAAAGUAGAUUCUCUCUUAAAUCCCAAUUCAGAGCACUCACAAUUGACAUAAUUCAUUAAUUAUUAUUCAUUUGUCCGUGGAAACGCAGUAUACGUUGCCAAAAAAGACUCAGUUUAUCAUUUUUUAAUUAAGAUGAUCAGCUAGUGGCAACCCUUUAUUCUGGUGAUUAUGUUUUGAUUUUGUAGAUUGAUUAAACUCUUGACUUGGACAAAAGUUAUGGAUAUAUUUGGUUAUAAACAAUGUUUAGCUUAUUUUAAAAAUCAUUAUAAAAUUAAAUUAAAACUCUACUUUAAUAUUAGUUCUCAAUCUUAACUUGUACUAUUUUUCUUUAGCCAAAUAGACGUUUCGAGUCAAAAAGAUUCAUCAACCAUGUUUUUAACUUGAUUAUUUAUAAGUUAUUCAUAAAAAAUAAUUAAAUAAAUAAUAUUAAUUCGCGAUUAGAAUCAUAACAAUUGAAAAAAAUACGAGACUAAAUUAAAACCUCAGUAAACCUAAAUGAUGAAAUUGCUGUUAAUGGCAGUGUACACUUGUCGGAACUUAGCUGUGUUGCGCAUAAAAUAUUAAUUUAAACAUCUCUAAAUUGAGAGCUGUUGCAGCUGUUCUUCUUUUUCCGCACGGUCCUCUUCAUUAAGGCACAUCUUAAGGUCUCAGCUAAUCUCUUAUAUUCGUCAAAAGAAGAUUAAUUAGCUCCUACAAUUAAUUAAUGAAGCCCUGGCAUAAAUAACAUGUAUUUUUCUUUUUAGUACAAAGACAUGAAUUUCACGUGGCACAAAUAGUUUUACGACACAUCAGUCAACAUGCUUUUUUUUAUUAAGAAAUCAAAAGGCAGACUCGAACCUGUAUGCAUGCAUGCAUGCAUGUAUGUAUGUAUGAGUGAGUGAGUAACAACAACAUUAUUAAUGAUAGUAUAAAUUAAGUAGAUAUACUAUUUGAAUGAUAAAAUCAAUUAAUCCAAGGAUCAGGGGGUUACAAUGGCUUGAAAUCUCAGGCGUUGACGCGUUCGUAUGAAUAAUUGAGUACAGGUCCUCAAAAUUCUUCAGUCCUCUUCGACGUCUUCAUUAUUCCUUGGCCAGCAUUACGUAUAGUAAUAAAACUCAUAAUAUACAGAACCCUCACACACACAUAAUGUAUAUAAAAUCUCCUGGGAGGGCAUGUGUAAGUCUUGGUGGCUAAACUGGCUGGAUCUUUCUGUAUUUGUUGCUUUUGAUUAAUGAAGAAUUCUAGUUUAUCUAUAAAAAAAGACUAACUGUAGAAGCUCUGGGCCUGAAAUGUUUUAAUAUACACUCCAACUUGUUGGACGAACGCGUUUCAGGAUGCCUCCCAUUCCAAUUUUGAUUCUUUUAUUUUUGUAAAAAACAAGAGGUUUUUUAUUGGGAUAAUAAUCACAGCUAUAUAUAUAUAUAUAUAUAUAUAUAUAUAUAUAUAUAUAUAUAUAUAUAUAUAUAUAUAUAUUCACACACACACGUUCUGAUGUUUUGUAUUUUGAAAUUAACCUCAAUCAUGAUCGAUGAAAGCAAGAUCAGUUUAAUUUUCCUUAGCAACUGCCGCGCGCAUCAGCUGGAAUAUUUGUGAUUGGGAUUUUAUCUCUGAUGUAUUGGAGAUUAUUAGAGAAUAAUAAAGAUUAUGUAUUUGAAUUUUAUUUAAUAAUUUAAGUAUUUAGAUUGAAUUAGUUUUUGAUAUGAUAUAAAAUUUCUAUUUAAGUUUUUAAAUUAAAUUUUACUUCAAAAGAAAAGAAAUAAAAAUGAGGAGGAGGAACUUAACUCAUCUGAACGAAGUCCCCCGCCAUGAUCAGUAGCCUUUGGCGGGUGUCAUUUGAUGUUGAAAGCGGCUUCAUUCAUGUGAAAUUCCUUUCACCAACUUUCAUGUGGUGGUAUUAAACAUUAGUAUUAUCUACGACUACUAGUAAUAGGCAACGUCGUGGAGAAAGAUUGACAAAGAAGUGAGCCCUUUUCACUGUUAAAUCAUCCAAUAUAAAGUAUUCCUUGUUGUGUUUAAGUUGAAAUUGGUGUGAUAUUGUUGGUUUUUCUUAGCUCUGUGACGCUAUGGCUUUGAUAAAUUUACCCUAAAUAUUGAUACCCCCUUCAUUGCCUUGCAGGGAUAUUAAUUAAACCAGAAAAAAAACACACCUUAUAUGCACCCACGAUCCAGUGACGAAGCUAUAAUUUUAAUAGAAGGUGACAAUAGUCGCGAAGGGAGAAAGAAUAAUCCAUCACUAUAGUUUUUUUUAAUGAUAAUAUUCCAUUAAUAUUUCCAGAGAUAUAUAGUAUUAUUUAAAAUAAAUAAGUAGCAACAAAACAACAUUGUGGUCAACAGUAUCAUUAAUAGAAAAUAUAUAUAUAUAUCAAACAUUCCCAAAACAAUUUUUAUAAAUUAUAAAAAUCAUUUUAAAGCUCCAUUACACAAUCGAUAGGUUUCUAAUUGACAAUUAGCGAUCUUUCUCAAUUGCAUAAAGUAUAAAUAUAAAAGUAAGAACGAAAUAUUCCAAAAAUCAUUGAAUACAUUAAUUUACCAGUUAUACACCAUUAAUUCUUGUUAAUUUUCAUUUGAUAACGAAAUAUAUUUAAAGAAAAUUUGGCUGAUUGAUAUUCUCAAGAUGCAUGAAACUAAGUCAUUGGUCACGAGUUCACCGAGUCAAUAUAUAAAUAAAAAUUAUUAUUAGUAUAAUUUUAAAAUUCAACUCGAGAUAAGGUUCAAAUCAUGAAUUGGAUGAAUCAUCCCAGCUGAUCCAAAUUUAAUUUUAAGAGUAAUCAAAACAAAAUUAUUUUAACUAAAAAUAAUUUUUAAAAAAAUUAAUAAUUUUUUUAUUGGUUCAAGCAUGGUCAAUCAUUUCUCUAUUUCUUCUUAAACUCUAUAUAUUAAUGGUAAAAUAUAAUUUUUUUAUAUUUUAUUUUGUUUUGUUUACAAUAUCUAAACAUGAUAUAAAAAUAAUUAUUUUAUUAUGUACAUUAUUAUCAAAUAUAUUUUUAUAUAUUUUUUUUAUCUUAUCUCUAUUGUUUUUAUAUUGUUUUCGUAUUUUAUGUCCUGUGCCAAACGCUUCCAUAAUAUACCACAUGCUUGCCAGAUAAAAAGCCCCAAGGCACCACUGCCGAACACCUGGGAUCAGGGCGGCGAUGGCUAGACUUCUUAUUUGUCUGUCAUAUAUUUCGUUGCCCCAGACUCGGAUAAUGUUAGUCCUUUUAAAAGAGCCAUAGAAAUGGGUUGUGCAUGGAUCCAUGUUAGUAGCGGUGAUUAUUUUUUGUUCGGUUUGGUUUUUAUUAAAAAAAAUAAUUAAAUCAAAACUGGUUCAAACCGACCAGUUUCGGUUCAGUUUUUUAGGACAAAAACCGGUUCAAACUGGUUUGGCUCGGUUUUUCUGAUUUGGCUCAGUUUUUCCGGUUUGGCUCAGUUCGGUUUUUUCGGUUUCGGGCUUAUAAAACCAAAACCGAACCGAUCGGCUUUUUCAAAAUUUUAAUCGGUUUUUUUUACGGUUCGGUUUUUUCAAUUAUUUUUUUUUAGUUUUCUCGAUUUAAUUGAUUUUUCAGGUUUUUUACUUAUCCCUGAAUAUUAGCACCAUAUACAUUCGAAUAAUUGAUUGAUAAAUACAUAGUCCCUUUUAAUCAUUGCAUUUUUUAUUUUCAGGCUCGUCGUUGUCUUUCUAGAUAAUUCUGUCAGGCUCCCAAAUGAGACGGUAAUCUAAUAUAUUUCCCAGAAACUGUUGUCACAGUACUCCAAUGACCAUACGAGCACAAUUUCUAUGUAGAGUUUUGUACGUCGUACAUGACAAUCUAGAAUAGUUGACUAGUCCAAGUUUGAUGACAAGUCAAGGUCCAAGGAUGAAGAUAACCUUUCUUCCAGUUAACUAUCAACACGUUCAAUAUAGACGCUUAACGACGACCAUUUCAAAAAACAUGUAUGGACUUCUUCAUGUGAACAAAAAAAUGGCAUGAUUUGGUAUCUAUUCAACAAACUAAUUAAUUCGCCCCGGAUAAUUAUAGCACAGAAAGGUUUUAGCUUGAGUGAUGUAAAUCCAAAAGGAUCGAAGGACCAAGUCAUGAAUCAGUGAUGAAUUUAGAUUUAACAACAAAAAAUCUUUAUAGAUGAUGAAAUUGGGUCUUAGUUUAUAGUAUAAUAUAUGCUAAGCUCAGUUAUGUGUUUCGUUGCCAGCCGGAUCAAAAUCCAUGUUGCUAUCGUUUCAACCUAUACUUAACCCUAACUCAAAUGUAAAAUAAUAAAUUUGUCAAAUCAUAAAAUAGCAAAAAAUCCAAGAAGUGAAAUGAAAAUAUAGCAACACAUUGAAUUGCUCCGUGUUAACUUGUGAAAUUGACAACUCAAGUAAUGAACACAAUCAUAGUGACUUAACCCGAUUAGCCAACCUUCCUCUUUUUUUUCCUACCCUAUCCUUUUCAUGGUUAGGCUUUGAUCGAAUCUCAAUUGACCUUAGGUUCGAUUAAAGAAUGAAGACAAAGUAUAAGAAAUAGAUAAAUGAUGAACUCAAAAAAUAUUAGCUUAAAAAAAGAAGGAAAAAAGCAAAAUCAAACGAAUCUCCUAAACUUUGAUUAAUCUUCUAAACUCGCAACUCAUGAAAUCUUAAGACCAAGUUCAAUAAAAAAACUCAAUUCCUAAUUAAUUUAAUGUUGGAAGAUGAAAUGGUAAAGACAAAUAAAAAAAUGUCAAGGUAAAAGAAAUUGCAAUAAAAAGAACGAGAAUAAAAUCAAUUAGAAAAAAAUUGGAGGAUGAAGUUAUUAAAAAACUUUAAUUCUAAAAUAUGUAAAAUAAAUAGCAAUAAAGGGAAUGAGUAUCAAUUUUAACAGAUAAAAAAAACAAAAAAGAAUGAAAUUGAAAAAAUAAAUAAAAAGUUGAAGGAUGAAAUUAAAAAAACACUAGCUUAAAAAGAGGGAGGGGGGAACCAAGCAAAUCAGGGCGCAUUCUCUAAACCUCGAUUAACCUUUCAAGUUUGCAACUUGUGGAAUCUUAAACCUUGGUUCCAAUCAGGAAAUUCAAUUCCUAAUCAAUUUAAUGUUGGAGAAUGAAAUUAUAAAAAAAAAAAUUGCCAAAGCAAAAGGAAUUUCAAUAAAAAGAAUAAGGAUUAAAUCAUAUAAGAAAAGUUUUUUGAAAGGGGGUGGAAUUGUAAGGAAAAGCUUUAAUUCUACAAAUUAUCUAAAACAAAACAAAUAGCAAUUAAGAAAAAGAGGACCAAAUCUGACAUAAAAAAUUAAAGAAAAAUGAAAUUUAACAGAAAAUAUAAUUAUAUAAACCAUCUAAAAAAAUAGUGAUAAAAAAACAAGGAUUAAGUCUUAAUGAAAAAUAAAUUGAAGGGUUACUUGAAAAAUCUAGAGUGACGUGUGAAAGUCGAGGUGAAAAGAAAAAAAAAAGAAAAAAAAAGUUUAUCGGUAUCAAAUUAGAGGUCAGAAUGCCACACAUUGUCGUGAGAGGAAGAGAUUGUCAAGACGAUUCCAACUACACUAAAGAAGUCCAUCAUUGAUUGUUAAACAUUAUUGCAUGUGUAAUUUGAAGGCGAUAAAGCAUUUGAUGCGUGUGCUAGCUAGCUUUCAAUUUUUAUUAUCAUUUUAUAUUUAUUAAAGGACUAAAUUGCCAUGUAAACAUAAUUAUAACAUAAAAACCAGGUUAGAAAAUGAAAUAACCCUGGAAAUCAAUUUAUUAGUUUUUGCUUUCAAAGGGUAUUUUUAUCAUGGUAUUAUGCUAACUAGAAGAAAAGAGAUGAGAAUGGCCUUUGAUGACGGUUUAUUAUUAUUUUUUGUUUUUUAAUGGUAAUUUAGAAUUGCAUUGUUAAAAAAACAAAAAAAGGAAAAAAAUCGAGUUGUUCCUAUUGAAUUUUGUAAUAACUAACUAUUAUGUCAAAAGAUCAAAUUAAAAAAAAAAUUACACAGUACAUAAUGAUGACAAAAAUGUUUUAGCCUUCCGUUUCGUUUUAGUUUUUUUUUAUUAUUAUUCCAUGAACAAUUGCAAACUAUUUCCCUCCCGGGCUUGAUAAAAUUAUGUAAAAUGACGUAGGUGUUAGCUCGGUAAUCGUCCACUUAGUUAAUUUCCAUGCCCAACAUGUUUAAUUGGAAUUAGUGAUUCGGUCACCGUCCACUUGGUUAAUUUCCAUGUCCAACACAGUGAUCAUUAGGUUCUCCGUUCCUUCAAUUCAUUGUCUGAUGUCUACUGAUUUUUUUUUAUUAUUAAUAUAAGUAUUCGGAUUAAUUUGCGUGUACUUCGAUUAAUCCCACGGAUCCUGAAAUUAACGACCAUGUAAGCUUCCAGUAGCCCUGAGAUUUAUGGGACUCGAACUAGUAUUUUUUCAGGAACAAACCUAGAACUUGAUUAGUUGAGCUACACCCCUCAGAUUAUCUACUGAAAUUUUUAAAUAAACAAGAAUACACUGUGAUUUUGCUGUGUCUUUAAUUUCAUUGAUCAUUAUCAUUAUCAUUUAUGAACGGGCCAAAUCCUUGGGAAGGGAAAACUGAUAAUAUGGUAUUGUUUGAAGAAAUAAUUUAUCUACAAAUGGGUCAAUUUUUAUUAUAAAAUACAUCCACAUAUAUAUAAUUUGAAUAAAGAGUCUUUUAUCCAACUCAAACAAAUAUUCUACCUGAUGCUGAAAUCGUUUUAAUAUUUUUAUGGAGUGAAUGAUUUAUUCCAUCUUAUAUAUGAACUUGUAGAACAAUUUAAGGGCUUUGACCGUAUAAAUACAAAUAAAAUUAAUUUUUAAAAAAAUCAAGGACCAGAAUAUAUACAAUUCUGUCAUCCACAUUGGUGGACCUAAUUAAACAAAAAUUCGUCCAACAUUUGGAAUGAAACCUUACAAGAAUAUUAUUCAAAUCCGAGGGCUGCUGCUGCUGUUCUCCCUUGUCUCUUCUAAGACCCACCGUUGUACAUAGACGAAUCAUAUGGAGUGCACAGAUUAAUUGAUUGAUUCCAGUUAUUUACCAUUAGGCAAAGCCAAGAGCUACGUGACUGCGAACAAGAUGGAGUAAUGCAGAAGAGUAAGAUUUGAGCUAUUUGGUAAUUUACGAGUGGUCAAGUCAUUUUCGUAAUCCUGGAAAAUAGAGGGUAAAUCCCACCUAUAUAUUACGAAUGGUCACAAUUAUUUUAUUUUCAUAAAUAGUAGCCUCAUUUAUUUGUUUUUUUAAUCACUAAAUCCAAUGAGAUUGAAUUCUAUGACAAGAGCAGCCUUCACCAUUCCUAAACCCCACCUCCAUCCACUGAACUUAAAACUUUCCAUUGAAAACCCUAAAUCUUAAUUACCUUCAGGGAUGUUGCUCGAGGAUCUGACAACAACCCUAGAUCACGAGCAAUCCAAAAUUACUAUCAUGAUUUUUUACCGUGUUUGAAAUUGCAGUAAUAGUUGUUUUAAAAUAAUAUUUUUAUUAUUUUUAAAAUUUAUUUUUAAUACUAGCAAAUCAAAAUAUUUAAAAAACAUUAAAAAAAUAAUUUAAAAAAAAUCAAAAUUCUAACGAACAACAUUUUAACAACAAUGCCAAACAAACUUUUCACCUCGCAAGGGAAUCGUCUUUUCGUGCGAGAGACAAUUAAAUUGGCAUGAUACGGACAUGGAAGCAUGCACAUUCCUAGUAUCAGUUAUCAGAACAUGAUCUACGAGGAUAUGCAAAUACGCUUGUAGAGUAAAUGACAAGGCAAUGUUUCUUUCUUUCAUGGACUGCCCGUCCCAAGCGCCAAUGACUUGGAGCCCCUCUCAGCUUCUCCCUCCCUCGUUCAGAUUAUGGACACCAUUGGAUUUGCUUGGUGAGGCACUAUACUUGCUCCUUCAUUUCCUCUAACUUAAAACUGGUGUCAAGACUCGACAUGUUCUUAAUUUCCCAUCGAAGAAAAAACUCUGCUGUUACAAGAAUGGUCUUCUAUCCAGACGUCCUAGCCAAGGGGACGACGUCUACCUUUCCUUGGUUGUAAACAAUACAAGAACGAUGGGUAAUUUGAAGAUCUUAGAUCAACCCUGUCAUGGGCUCCACGCCUUUCAUUUCAAGUGGCAUUCUAGAAGAUCAGAUAGAAAUUAACAUAUUUUGAAAUUAUAACACAGAGGUUGAAUUAUAGAACUUGGUAGCUUUUUAAUUUAUUUAUAAUAAUGUAAACUACAGUUCUGAUUCCGUUCAAUAUUGAUUUUUCUUUUAAACUUUGUCAUGCAUUUAUAUUGAACUUGUUUGAUUUCCCUCUUUAAACCAGAUUCAUUUUCACACUAUAUAUGCAUGCCCACGACGAGGAAUGAUAAUACACACACACACACACACACCCCUGUUGAUCUCGUUAUGACCUGUUUUCAACUAAAGAAUCUCCACUAGCAUAAUUUUUAUUUUUUACAAGUCAAAAGGAGAAAUAAAAUAUAGAUAAAAUUUAAGAGGGGUAAUUACAAAAAAAUAAAAAAUAAAAAAUACACCAAAAAGACAUCAUUGUAGGUUCUUUCAGUACCUUUCCCAAACAAAAUCAAUGAAUUUGUUACCAGAGGUAAUUCGGUUUUUUCGCUUGUGUCUAUUUUUUAUUAUUAUAUUGAUCGAGAAUAAAUUAAUAUUUUUAUAUUUUUUUAAUUAAUAAAAUAACAUAAUUACUUUUAAAACAAAAAAAAUAUUAAAUUGGCAUCCAAUAGCUUUUUUGUCUCUCAUUUUUUAAAUAGUUAAAUAACUAAAUUAUCCUUCAAAGCAAAAAUUACUAAAUUAGUGUUCAGGGUUUCUUUUUUGUAUUUUCAUCCUUUUUUUUGUUAUAAUCAAGUUGACUAAGAAACAAUUUAGUAAUUUGAUAAAUCUAAACAUUAUUUAAAAAAGUGGUUUGCGCGUGCAUUGCACGUGUCAACAUGUAAGAUGUGGCCUCGAUAUUCGGUUAGUGUGCGAGGGGGCUUUGAAGGCCAAACGGUGGUUUAUGGGGUAGCAUCCAAAAUCUAUUGGCGGCCAUUCCAUUCCUGGACGGCACGUGUGGCAAAUAGACCUUCGGUUUGGUGUCAGCGAUCUUUUUUCUUCUUUUUUCUCUUCUCUUUGAUUUCUGUGCCCGACCCUCUGAAUUUUCAAAGCAACCCUUCAAUUUGUUUCUAUCUUUAUAUUUGGUUUCUAUUCCUUUUAUUACUAUUUAUUUUAUUUAAAAUAAUUUAUAAAAUAUAUUUUUUUAAUUUCACCCCUCUUUAAUUUUUUUAUCUGUCAGAUUUGACUCUCAUUAUUCUGAUUACUAUUUUUUUUAUUUAAGAUAAUUUUUUUUCUUCUUACAAUUUUAUCCUCUAAUUUUUUCCUAUUAAAUUUUUUCCUUAUUUUUUUUCACUUUAGCUAAUUUUUUAAAAUUGAUAUUUUUCUCAAUUUCAUACUUCAACAUUGAAUUAGUUGAAAAUUGAGUUUUUUUUAUUGAGUCUAGGUCUAAGAUUUCAUGGGUUGCGAGUUUGGAAGAUCAACCCAAAUUUAGGAGAUUCACUCGGGUUUACUUAGUCCUCCCCUUUUUUUAAGUUCAUUUUUUUUCAGUUUCAUCAUUAAACAUUUAUUUAAUUGGAGAUUGGACUCUAUUAUUAUUUUUUAUUUGAUUUCUAUAGGAUUUUUUACUGAUUUUGAAAAUAAAUCGGGUUAUCUCAGGUGUUUUUAUUUGUCGUUCUUUGUUAAAUCUUGUUUUUUUAAAAAGAAAUUUUAUUUUUUAAUUAAAUUAAAGUAAUUGAUUAAACAUAGGCGUGAGAUGCUCACUUCAUGAUAUUUUGUUUGUUUUGUUUUUUGAAUCGUUUCUCUUACAACGUGUGCUGCGUCUUUUAGCGUCGCUGAGCAUCCUAUCACAAUGGUGUUAGAACCGUCUCUGUGAGUUUUUUUCAAGUAGUGAGGUGAUGUCGAAGGUAGAGCGACAUUGAAUAUCUAAUGAGCUUUUCCUUUUCUCCUUCCAAAUACAAUAUUGAUAAUUUAUUUUUUAUAGUUAAUUAUUAUUGAUUUUUUUUUUUUUUUUAUUGUCAAGACUUAUUAAAUUCAAUCAAAUCAAUGAUUGAGAUCUUAAUUUUUUUUUAAAAAAAAAUCAGAACCGCCUGAAUAUCUAUCUUUAUAUUAUGAAAAAAUUAACUCGAUUCAUGACGCGGCGCGAGUCACCAAAAUAUUGACCAUCAUAUAGUGUAAACAAAAUAUUCAUGGCAGCAAUUCCUAAAUUAAAAAACCCUGGCAACUGAUUAAAAAAAGAAAAAUUGACCCGCGCUGCUUCUGUCGCCGUCAUGACGGCGCCAUCUGGCAAUCCAAAGUCCAAACAAGACCAUGGCUCAAAACGUUCAAUAAAGAAGCACACACCUAACGGUUGGUAUUAUAAUUAAAUUAAAACCCGAGGUUUAUUCUUAAUCCGCAUUUGAUUAUCUCUCUCUCUCGAUAUGUUUUCUUUUUUCUUUCAGACUCGAUAGAUAAUUAAAUUAAUUGGAAGACCACAUUUCCGAUUCUCUUUCUUAGUUAUUUUCUUCCUAUGUUAUCUUACCUACAUUAUCUCAUGAUGUCUUCUUCCCUGUCUCCUAGGUUUAGGCCCUGAGCUAAAAUCUCAAGUGUUUUUUUAGUCUAAUAAUAAAGUGUUUUUGAAUUAAUUUAUACAUCAAUUAAUAUUAAUUUUUAUUUUUUUUUAAUUUCAAAGAUACGCACCUGCAUAACUUGGUAUAUUUAAAUAAUUUAUUUUGAAUCUAAAAAAAAACCAAUCUCAUUAACCAUUAAUGAACUCUUAAAUGUAAAAUUAGGAAUAAUGAUCUAAAAAGAAAAUGCUUGCCCCUCAAAGCAAGUAUCAAAAUCAUCUCUUAUGAAGUUUAUAAACGAAUGAAAGUUUAAAUUGUUUUUUGAAGUGUUUUUUUAUAUAAAAAUAUAUAAAAAUAAUAUUUUUUUAUUUUUUAAAAAUUAUUUUUGAUAUCAAUGCAUCAAAACAAUUUAAAAUAUAUAAAAAAAUUAAUUUUUUUUUAAAUUUAAAUUUUUACAAAACAUGAAACACAGUUUAAAUGCCAUAUUCACGGAGGAAGCACCGUUCCCGUCAUUCACCGUCAAUUCUAGUAACAGUUAUUAAUCAAUCAAUCUUACAGAUCUCAUGCAAGGCUUCCCUUCUAGAAUUACUCGCGUCACCGUAAUAAAAUUACCUUCCAAUAAAUAAUAAUAAUAAUAAUAAUAAUGAAAAAAGUCUUCAAAGUCUCGAAGCCAUCAGUCCUCGCAUAUACGGUGCUAAAUUUCCAUGGAAAAAGCAUUUUGACAAAUUCGUACAUCUAGAAGGAGCGUGUUUUCACAAUUAAUAUAAUAUUUCAUAACAAGAAGACUUGCUUUUCUUUUUGGGGGUUAAACAAGGAUAUUUCCGGAUUAAUUUUCAUUUAUCUAUAUAAUAAAAAAACAGAAUGGCGAGUGCUCCUAAAACAGGGAAGUAUUUUUUUAUAUAAACCAUCAUGUAAAGAAUAUUUCAACAAUAAAGAUAUUUUUAGGUUAGUUUUCAGCUAUCAAGAUUCAAGACUAAAUCUUUUUCGAUGAAAUUCUAAAUAAAGUAUUUCUGUUUUAAUGGACUCAAGAAGAUAUUUUCUUCAAACUUUGAAUGUCAAAGAAAAAAACCCAAAUUUCUUUAUCAUUUAACUAAAACCUUAAAAAAAUUAUAAAAAAUAAUCUUAAAUUCGUUUGAAAAUGACUUUAAAAAUAAGUUUAGUAUAAAAUUAAUACUUUUAAGAGUCUUGAAUAUUAAUAUAUCAUCAUAAAAAAACACAAAAUAAAUAAAUAAAUAAAACUAAUGCACUUCCAAUUCCACUUUUCCAAAAGCAAUAAAUGAAAAGGUAACUAUUUUCAAAGCAGCAGGGUAGCUAUUGAACCAAAGAGAAAAUAAUAAAUGAAAGAAAAUGAAGAACCAAAGAGAAAAGGUAACUAUUUUCUUUUUUUCGAAGAAAAAAGGUAACAGAGAGUUAAAUGAAAAGAGAAAAAACGAAAGGUAAAAAAACAAAAAAGAGGGAUCUAAUUGAACCAAAGUCUACGUUCAUAGCGUACAAGAUGCGCCAUCUCUCUUCUUCGUUUUCCUGCUGCUUUCCUUCUCCAAGAAAAAAUAAAAGAGAAAAUCCAAUGAAGGAAUAUCUUAAUUUAAUCAAAAAUACCAAUUCAAUGUAAGACUGCCAUCAUACACGUUGACAUUUUUCUCCACUAUCUAUUUAUAAGGAGAAUGGUUUGUUUGAGGACACAAUCCUGUUAACACCUUUGUGUCCUUCAGAGUAAACCACCCUUGUACUCUCUUGCCUUUGUGUUCUUGUUCAAAGGUAGAGAUUACAUAUAAUAAUUCACAUGAUCAUAGCUUCCCUUGUACUCUCUGCUUUUCUCUAAUCCCCUGUCAAUUUUCCUCGAAGUUCUUUGCUUUUCCCUUCUUUUCUUGUUCAAUUUUGAUGCUUGUGUUUUUGGGUUCUUGAAUUCUUAGCUUUUAGGGUUCAAUCACAUCUGGGGUUGGAUAUUACUGUGAAUUCUGCUUCUGGGUAUUCCUGUUUUCAUUCAAAGGAGCUGCAUUUUUAGCAUUCUUAAGUAUAAAGCCAAAAGGUUCUGGUGUUUGUUAGAGAAAGAGAGACAUGGCUGGUGGUGGUAAAAGGAAGAGGUUGAGUCUGAGCAAACUGUACUCGUUUGCAUGUGGAAAGACAUCUUUAAAGGGUGAUCAGUCCCAGAUGGGGGCACCUGGGUUUUCCAGGGUAGUUCACUGCAAUGAACCAGACUGUUUUGAGGCCAAGAUUAGAAGAUAUAGUGGCAACUAUGUUAGUACUACAAAGUACAAUGUUGCUACUUUCUUGCCCAAAUCAUUGUUUGAGCAGUUCAGAAGAGUGGCUAACUUCUAUUUCUUGGUUGUGGGUAUCUUGGCUUUCACCCCUCUUGCACCUUACACAGCUGUCAGUGCUAUUUUCCCCCUUAUUGUUGUUGUUGGAGCUACCAUGGUUAAAGAAGGUAUUGAAGAUUGGAAGAGAGCUCAGCAGGUAUGGUUUUAAUUUUUUAUUUGUUUGCUCAGAUUGGAUAUGUUUAUUGAUUAUGGUUUGAUGUGUUUGUAAUGUCUUCUUGACUUCUCUUAAAGUGAAGUUUCAAAUUACUCUCUACUGAUUGAAUGGUAUUCAUAUGAUUUGAUGAUGAAAUUUUGGGAUUAUUUUUUUAUUUUUUUUUGAUUUUUUUCAUGUUAUUUGCUUGGACAUAUCUGGGAAAUAUUUUGCAUAGAAGUUUAGUAAGGCUUUAGAUGACACCGAUAAACAAGAUGAAAGAUCAGAACUUUAACUCAUUUUUACUGAUUCAUGCAUCUUAUCCUAGACUUUGUGUGACUUAUAAGAAAUAUUGAAACAUCAGAUACAGGAUGAGCCUUCUGCUCUCUCCUAGGGUAAUUUGUGCUACACUAGUUAGCAUCGAAACUCCUGUUCCCAAGAAACAGGACUAUACAAAUUGCAGUCCAGUUGAUAUUGGAUAUGUUUUACCUGCAACUUCUAAAAUGCUUCCGUGUUCUCGUGCAUGCUAUCAGAGAUGUCUGAGUGGCAAAUGAUAAGUAUGCUUGAUCAUCUAUCCUCUAUUGAAAUUUCUCAUAUCUGAUUUGUACUCUUUUCUUUCGGAAUGGAUUCUCAGGAUAUCGAGAUGAACAAUAGAAAAACUAGAGUGCACCAGGGUGAUGGAACUUUCAAAUCUACUGGAUGGAAGAAUCUGAGGGUGGGAGACAUAGUGAAGGUGAAGAAGGAUGAAUACUUUCCAGCAGACCUCCUCUUGCUCUCAUCAACUUUUGAAGAUGGAAUCUGCUAUGUUGAGACCAUGAAUCUAGAUGGAGAAACAAAUUUGAAACUCAAACAGGCAUUGGAGGCAACAGCAUUCAUGCACGAGGACUCUUACUAUAGGGAUUUCAAGGCUCUUAUCAAAUGUGAAGACCCAAAUACAAAUUUGUACUCCUUCGUUGGCACUCUGGACUUUGAACAGAACCUGUAUCCCCUCUCUCCUCAACGGCUUCUCCUCAGAGACUCCAAACUCAGAAAUACAGAGUAUAUAUAUGGGGCAGUUAUCUUCACUGGACAUGACACAAAGGUUAUGCAAAAUUCUACAGCUCCCCCUUCAAAGAGAAGCAAAUUUGAGAAGCAGAUGGAUAAAAUUGUUUACUUCUUAUUCUUUGUUCUAUUUAUGAUGGCAUUUAUUGGAUCUCUUGUUUUCGGAGUUGCAACUGACAAUGACUUGGAUGGAGGGAGGAUGAAAAGGUGGUAUCUCAAACCAGAUGAGUCUACUGUUUACUUUGACCCUAAAAGAGUGGUCUUAGCAUCAAUUUGUCACUUUCUGACUGCUCUCAUGUUGUACAAUUACUUCAUCCCAAUCUCCCUGUACGUGUCAAUUGAAGUCGUCAAAGUUUUUCAGAGCAGUUUCAUCAACAACGAUAUCAAUUUGUACUAUGAGCCAUCUGACAGGCCAGCACAUUCUCGCACCUCAAAUUUGAAUGAGGAACUUGGGCAAGUGGACACGAUACUUUCUGACAAGACUGGAACAUUGACCUGCAAUUCCAUGGAGUUCAUCAAGUGUUCUGUCGCGGGGACUGCUUAUGGCCAUGGGGUUACAGAGGCUGAGCGGGGAAUGGGUGUGAGAGAAGGUGAAAGUGUGAAUGGUUGGGACCAGAGCAAGGAUUCUUCCACUACAAAACCGCACAUUAAAGGUUUCAAUUUUAAAGAUGAAAGGAUUAUGGAUGGGAACUGGGUCCAUGAACCCCAAGCUAACAUCAUUGAAAAUUUUUUCCUCUUGUUGGCAAUCUGUCACACUGCCAUACCUGAUGUGGAUGAAGAAACGGGGAAGAUUUCAUACGAAGCUGAAUCACCAGAUGAAGCAGCAUUUGUGAUUGCUGCAAGAGAAAUUGGUUUUGAAUUCUACAAAAGGACUCAAACAAGCGUUGCAGUGCGUGAGUACAAUCCAAAGACUGGGAAGAAAGUUGAAAGGGUGUAUACAGUUCUGAAUGUUUUGGAGUUUAACAGUGCAAGAAAGCGGAUGUCUGUGAUAGUAAGAAAUGAGGAGGGGAAACUGCUAUUACUUUGUAAAGGUGCUGACAGGUUUGUGAUCAACUACCUUGAAACCCUUGAAAUUGGAAAAUUCCUUGUCUUUUAACCUAUUGCUUAUUAAUUAAAUUUAACCUGUAUCAUAUGCAGUGUCAUGUUUGAAAGGCUUGCUAAGAGUGGAAGGGGGUUUGAAGAGGAGACCAAGAAUCAUGUGAAUGACUAUGCUGAUUCUGGCCUGAGGACCCUAAUACUUGCCUAUCGUGAACUUGCUGAAGAAGAAUACAAAAUUUUUAACCAGAAAUUCACCGAGGCUAAGAAUUCAGUUAGUGCAGAUCGGGAAACAUUGAUUGAUGACAUGGCAGAGAAGAUCGAGAGGAAUCUAGUUCUUCUUGGCGCAACUGCUGUUGAGGAUAAACUCCAAGAAGGGGUGAGUAAGAAAACCUAAAAUGUUCUAAAAUAAACCGGCCUUUUUAGAGAUCUUGAAUUUUUUGUUCUUAUACUGUGUACCCUUUAGGUUCCUGCCUGCAUAGACAAACUUGCUCAAGCUGGAAUUAAGAUGUGGGUUUUGACUGGAGACAAAAUGGAGACUGCCAUAAACAUUGGGUAUGUUGUUUUUUGAAAAAGAGUGUUUGUAUUGACACUUUUAAGAUGAGUGGACAUUUCAUAUUAUACGUGGAGGCAUCUGACUUAAAAUUUUGAAUAUGCAGCUUCUCCUGUUGUUUGCUUAGACAAGGAAUGAAGCAGAUCAUAAUCAAUUUGGAGAAUCCAGAGAUCCUGUCAUUGGAAAAAACAGGAAACAAGGAUGCCAUUACUAAGGUAAAGACUGCUUUAAUUCAUCAAAGAUUUCAGUCCACUUCAGGUUAUUUACCCGUGAUUUAUUUUCCUUUUCUCCUGGUGUCAUCUCGGUUGGGAGAAAGGGUGUUGAAGUCAAAGAUGCACCUUAAUUGUUAUGAAUCUAUAUGUGAUAUUGAUGGUAUAUACAUUCAUUUUCCAGGCAUCAAGGGAAAGUGUUCUUCGUCAAAUAACUGAUGGAACGGCCCUGCUUACUGGACCAAGUGGAACUGCUGAGACAUUUGCAUUGAUAAUUGAUGGAAAAUCACUCGCUUACGCAUUAGAGGAUGACAUGAAACAUUUGUUUCUAGAUCUUGCUAUGAGUUGUGCAUCUGUCAUUUGUUGCCGUUCAUCACCAAAACAGAAAGCACUGGUGGGUUAUUAUUCUUAGUUUUUCACUGCUGUAGGUGCAUGUGUUGUUAGAUAGUAAAGACUUUCUUCUGUACACUUCUCUUGAAAGAAUAAUUGUUUUAAAUGGUAAAAUACAGGUUACAAGACUAGUCAAAUCUGGAACCAGGAAAACAACAUUAGCAAUUGGUGAUGGUGCCAAUGACGUGGGUAUGCUUCAAGAAGCAGAUAUUGGAGUCGGAAUCAGUGGUGUUGAAGGAAUGCAGGUCUUUUCCACAGAACAGCUUACAUCUCAAUUAAUUGUUGAAAAUAUUUCUCUACUUGAUUGUAAUUCUCACCACCUGUUAACCCUAUUUUAUGCUUGUUUUCAACUCAGGCUGCCAUGGCAAGUGAUGUUGCAAUUGCUCAGUUUCGGUAUUUGGAGCGUUUACUACUUGUACAUGGGCAUUGGUGUUACAGGAGGCUCUCAUCUAUGGUAAGGUCAUUCAUAUGUUUGGAUUUGGACAUGGCUUAAUAUUUCAGUAUGGGCAUUAAAUUAACGUCAAUGAUUAUUGAUGAAUGUGAAAUGUCAUCAUGAGUUUUCACCUUUUCAUGAUUAUACUGAUAUAUAUAUAUAUUUUCAUAUGCAGAUAUGCUAUUUCUUCUACAAGAACAUUGCCUUUGGUUUCUCCAUUUGGCUAUAUGAGGCUUAUACAUCAUUUUCUGCACAGUCUGUAUACGGUGAUUGGUUUUUGUCAUUUUAUAAUGUCUUCUUCACGGCUCUUCCAGUUGCCGCUUUGGGUAUCUUUGAACAAGAUGUAUCUGCUGCAAGCUGUCUCAAGGUAUCUCACUCACUCACUUAGCAGACUCAAUUAUGGUCAUUAGAUGGUUAGUAAAGCAAAGUAAACAUCUUGGCCAAAUUUUGAUCAUUUUUUGACUUAUUUCAUAUUUCAGUAUCCUCUACUAUACCAAGAAGGCGUGAAAAAUCUCCUCUUUGGGUGGCGCCGAGUACUUCAUUGGCUGGGUAACGGGUUCUAUACUGCACUAGUCGUUUUCUUCUUCUGCUCAACUGCACUGCAGCACCAAGCCUUCAACCGUGAUGGAAAAACUGUUGGGAUGGAUGUUUUAGGAGGAACCAUGUAUACUUGCAUCGUGUGGGCUGUGAACUUGCAGAUGGCAUUGACUGUUUGUUACUUCACCAAAAUACAGCGUGGCCUAAUUAUAUAUUGUCUUUGUAUGUUGUACAUUUUCUUCGUGGCAUUUGGGUCCCUGUCUCCGUCAAUGUCUGCAAUUGGCUACAAACUCUUUACAGAAGCCCUUGCCCCGGCUGCUUCUUACUGGUUUACAAUCAUAUUUGUGAUAAUCGCAGCACUGUUGCCCUUCUAUGCAUAUUCAGCAAUUGAAACAAGGUUCUUUCCCAUGUACCACCAGAUGAUACAAAGGUUAGAGAGUGGGAAACAUGAAGAUGAUCCUGAGUAUUGUGAUAUGAUGCGACAAAAGUUAUUGCAGCCACCAACAUCAGUAGGUUUUUCAGCACGGUUGGCAGCACGAGCUAAUAAGUUAAGGCGUAAGAAUAAGAAUCAGCCACAAUAAUAGCUGAUUGUUCCUGGAGGGCAUCUGUCAACAUUUCUGGGUUGUGGUUAUCUGCUCAGAAGCUGAACUCUGUCCCAGCUGUAUACGACUUAAUGAGGCUUCUACUUUACCAGAAGGUAUGGCCCUGCAAGUUAAGAGUUUUUGGUGAUUUUUUAUGGAAGCAUCGUUCAGCUGUACCAUAAGUGGAACAGGAGACUUAUGCCAAAAGGAAUUUAAAUUUUGUUUGUUGUAAAAGAAAUGUAAUUUUUAUACCAACUUGUAUUAUUAUUACAAUGUAUUUAGGACACCAUUGAAUUGGUCGUAGAUUUGGAUUGUAUUUGUUGUUUACAAGAAUAAACUCUUCUUUUUCUUAUUGUAACUUGUAGUUCUAUUGAGUUUAUUAUUUUUUAUUACUUCUUAAUAAACUUGGAUUCUUGUUUACUAUUGAUUAUGGAGUAGAGGAAUUUUCGUUUUCUUGUCUUUAAUUCCCUAUGCUUGAUGAAUUUGUUGAAUCUCCUGAAGCACACAACGGAUAUCUAGCUUGUAACUGCAGUUAAAUGUUAAAACAGCAGGCGGCCAAACGCCCUCUCAUUCUUAGCUGAACAUUCAUUGAUUGGAACUUGAAAUUCUCGGCUAUAAUGUUCUUUCUCUUUUCCUUUUUGGUAAUCUUGGCCAUAACGUUGUUUCCUUGGCAGAAUAAAUGUCAAUAUAAUUGUUUGUUCUUUACCUGGGAAACACCAGAGAGGGAACUGAUAAGUGAACUUCCUUAUUGCCCUGGUUUGAUUUCUAAAUGAGUUAGUUGCACAAAAGCUUUAGCCCUAAUCUCAGUGGUUUCAGGUUGAAUUUUAAAUGAGUCAAUUUGAUCUAUAAUUGUGUUGCCCUUUACUGCAAGUUCCCAUUCCAUCUCUCACCCACAGUUAGCAUCCGUAUCUGAGUUUGCUCUUGCCAAGCCAGAUUAAUCCAAUUCUGCAGAAUUCUUUGUAAGGAUCACAGAACAGAAUAUUGAUUUACGUACGACCAUAAUUUGCAGCACACAUUUUGUUUUGUUACUGCAAAAAUAUACUGAGCCAGGAUUAAGUGAAUGGUUAAUCCAUUAGUUGAUGCAUAGAAAUGGCUGUAUCUGGAUGGAUCUGUAGAUGAUAUCGCCUCAAUUAUGAUAGGGAAAAUAGAGUUACUCAUACAAUGAGUUCUUCACAUAAAUGCAACUGGCCAUCAUCAGUAAUUGCAAGAAACUGAAGUUCAUGCAAAAACAUCUUACAUUGCCAUAACCAUGAUCUUAUUCUUAGCAAUCCAAUUACACGGAUUAACAACUACCCUUUUUCCAUUGAAUCAUUGCAUCCAGUUUUCAUGCAUUCAGAGGCCAAAUUGCUUUCUCAAAUGCAGACCGUUGGCCUUGAAUGAUAUGGCAGCCGGUUUCCUAACUUCCAUAGAUUGGUGAUGCCACCAGUAAUGUCAUGUAGCAGAAAAAUUAGUAAUGAAAAUCUUGGACUGGUAGAUAAAAUGUCGUUUUCAUGUUAUUUAUUUAUGUCGACAAUUCCAACCACUACAAUAAAUAUAACAUUAUGCAAUCUACAAGUUGUGUUAACAUGUUUCAAGUGGGAUUCAGGUCUCUCCUCCUUCCAUCUUGUUUACAGGUAUCCCAUGACCAGAUCUUAAAAGAAUUACAUCUACACACAAGAAAUUACGAGAAAGAUGAUAGAAAAAAAUAAGUGAAAGGAAAAGGUCAUCGGAUCAUGCCAAACCAUCAAUGAUAUUGCAGAUCGCCAGAUCCCCAUCAGAGAACAAAAUGCUAAUGACAUAUUAAUGGAUAUUGCAGAUCCCCGCGACGUCCAUGUCCAUGUAUUAACAAGACCAUACCCAUCAUCGAUCAGGCUCUAUGGAACUUUGAUGCCAAGAAAAUCAGCAGCAGAUUUUGCCAUGACGUUUGCAAACUCAUUAAAACUCAAAACACCAUCUCCAUUGGUGUCAGCCUCUCUCAUCAUAUCUGAUAGCUCACGAUACGUCAAAGGGUGUCCCAUUUUAGCCAUUGAUCCUGCAAGCUCAGCAGCAGUAAUGAAUCCAUUGCCAUCCCUGUCAAAUGAUCGAAAAACCUCCAACAACUGCUCCUGGUUGAUCAAUACUUCUUCAUUCAUAUCAGGCAAUAUAGCACUGACCAGCUCAUCAAACUCAACAUAACCAUUUCCAUUAGCAUCCAUGUUUGAUAACAGAACAUGAAGUUGAUCACCUGUAGGUUUGAGGCCAAGAGAACGUAGAAGCGCAGCGAGCUCCAGCUGCGUGAGGCUGCCAUCGGAAUCCAUGUCGAAGCGAAUGAAGAUGUCCUUGAGCUGCUUGAGCUGAUCGGUCUGAAGGGUUGCCAUCAUGUCUGGAUGGAAAUGGAGGAGGUGAAAGGAAAGGAAAUUAAAGGAAAGGAAUGGUUUUUUUUCUUUUUUUUUGUAUCUGUAUUUUGGCUGGUUAAGGAUGCGGGGCUAAUUGAGUGUUGUUCUUUUCAACUGGAAUGGUUCAACCAAAACCGCGUUAUAUCAUUGCCGUGUUAUGUGGGGGGUAAAAACGAGCAAAGGAAUUACGCAGUCAAGUUUCUGAAAUAUUCUCUGUGAACGUUGGGGCAUGUGGGUUCGCGGUGGCGUUGCCUUAUUUUUUUCAAAACUCCAUGUUUGCUAUUUUUGUGCUCUAUUUUGAUCUUUCUCAGGACAUAGUUGUCUUAGAAAGAAUUAUUACAAGAAAGUAUCUGGAACAGAAUAAUGGUACUUUUUGUACAUUCAUCUAAAAACCUUGACACCGGCUUUGAAGGGCGUUGAGUUCUCUUUUCAUACUCUAUUCAUUAUUAUAAAAUUAAUCGAGAAUAAAUAAAUAUUUUUUUAAUUUAGAUUGCACAAUAAAAAAAACUAUGAUAUAGCAAAAUAAAAAGAAUAUGGCAUGAAAGAAUAUUUCAAAAUAAUUUUUUUUAUUAUAAUUUAAACUUAUAGAAAAUUUUUAUUUGAUCAAAUAUAAAAAAUAAUGAACAAUUAAAAUGUAUAGUAAAAUAAUAAAAAUAUUCUUAAAAUAAAAUAGAAAUUGAAUGAUUUUUGAAGGUUUAGUAUCGAUAGUAAAAUAUUUUAAUUAAUUUAAUACAUUUAUGUGAAUAAAAUUAGAAUGAAUCAUCAUUAAUUGUGAAUGUUUUUAAUUUAAUAUGUAUCUUAUAGUAUUUAACAUAUAUGUUUAUUUUAUGUUUACGUUUAAAUAUAUCAUAUUAAUACGUUUGAUUUUGAUCCAUAAAAAAUACACUUAAUCAUAGAAAAUAUUAAAGGGCUUAAUUUUAAUUAGUGGGUCUAUAGAAAAAAUCACAAAACAACUAUUAAUUAUUGAAAUAAAUAAAUUUUAAUAAAAUAUUAAAUAAUGGGAAAAAAACAAAUUAAAAAAAAAAAGGAAAGUGGGGUCAGGGUGUGACAACAGGGCUCGCGUGCUUCGUCGGCUGGAUGUGCAUGGCCUCGGCGUUAAAAAAAUCAAGAAUAGAGGUGAACAGCGUGUCAUCAGCAACAGGUGGAACUUUUGAUGACUGUUUCGUCGAAAAAUCGGCAGCCGCUAGUUUUGACCUCAAAAGUCAAAACCCAAUUUCUAUACUAUUUUUACCUUUAAAUCAUCCCAUCAAUAUUUAAAAACUAUUUUUAAACCUCAAAAUAUAUUUUUAAUCAACUCUAAGAACUCAAAAAUUAUGAUUCUCUCCUCCCUUCUCUCUCAUUGAUUCUCCCCUCAUUCUACAUACACGGGCCUCAUGUUAACACUAAUAAAUUUUGGGGACCAUUCUAUAUAAACCUUGAGCACUGAGGACCAGAAUGAAUUCACAUUUGUAAGAAAUUACUUUAAUUUUAAUUUAAUUUAAUUUUUGUAUAAGGAUGUUGUUUUUUUAGCACCAUAGCUAGCCUAUUCAUAGCUGCAGUGCAACCCUUCAUUAUCUUUUAGUUAAUUAUUUUAAUUUAAUUAAUAAUAAUGUAAUUUAAUUUAGUCAAUAAAUAAUAUUUACAGAGGAGGCAAAAAGAAAGAUAAUUUCUUGUGAAAGCAUUGGCAAGUUUGGAGGGCUGAUAAAACUCCAAUGAAGAGAGAUUUAAAUACUGUCAGGGGAUUUGUCUAGAAAUUAUUUUUAUUUAAAAAUAUAUUAAAAUAAUAUUUUUUUAAUUUAUUUUUAACAUCAGAUUAUCAAAACAAUCUAAAAUUAUUUUGAAAUUUAAAAAACUCAAAAACAUUUAAAAAUGAAUAGUAACUUGGAUGACACGGGAAGGUUAGUUUUUGAAUGGAUUGGCCUUGGGAGCAUGAAGGUUUGAAAGUUAUCGCUUCUGUUGAAUGUUCAAAUUGAGGAGAGAAUUCAGUGGUUGACUAGUGAAAACCAUUCAGGGUGUGAAAUCAAAAUUGAGUUUGCUAAUAAAACCAAUAAUUAAUCAAACCCAUCUGAAAAGAUUCUCAUCCUCCCCCAGAAUCCACAAUGCUAAUCGUUGAAAAUUAUCGCAUUACACAUUAAACAAUGAAUGCAGCGUUGAACAUUCUUAGAAAAUCACCAUAUUCGUCCUCCCAGACCAGUAUACACAGGAGGGGAGUGAAAUUAUAUCGUUGGAUCUAUCUAAAUUCUUUUCAUUGUUUUAUUUAAACCCAGUAAACGUAAGAUAGGUGUCAUCAUUGUACAGAUGCCUGCUCUCUUGACUCCCUCUGGGAUUGAUUGGCAUGUUAAAAGCAAAAUAUGCUAUUGGUGAGAGCACCAUAUGGAAUUUUGAUUAUGGAUAUGUUCAUAAAUUGGCAAUAAUAAUGGUGUGUUUUCAUUCUUCCAAAACUCUAGCUCCUCCUGACGCUUCAAAACAUGGGAUAGAAGCCAUUGUCACGAGCUGAGAUCAAUCAGCCCAGAUUUCGAGUCUUUCAGUGGCUUUCUUUAUUUAACACUUCAUUUGAUCCCGAUCACUGCUUGUGACACACACUAUAACUAGUCACAUCGGCACCACCCUGUACCGGUGCAAUCAUCAUUUGCUACAGAUGUAUAACUGGAUAUAUUCACACCAUUCAUUCUUCAUUACUUUGUUAUCCACGAGAAAAAGAAUGUAAACUGUUUGGCAUGCAACCAGGAAUACAAGAGAAAAUGGUAAGAGUCAACUGAGAGUGACACGACUCUUACAUGCUUCAAGAUGAAUGAACAAAAUUGAAUCGAGAUUUUAUUAACACAAAAAAUACUGUUCAGAACAAAAAUUUGCAGGCGCUAAUUACAAGAAGAAAGAAUUACAGCACCUGUGACAUGGGAAAAUUAUAAUAACCUAGCUACCAGUAUCAAGGGCUUGAAAUCCAAUCCCUACAGGAGACAGUUCAUUUCAGAGACCAUCCUGUACAUCGUGAGCUUGUAUAUGUUCCAUCUCAAAAUUCAUGAAUCCUACUGUUCAUAGAUGAAUUUAUCUCUAACACUAUUUACCAUGUGCUCUUUAAUUAUCCAGGCUAUAACAAUCUAUACUGUAAUUUUGACUACCAAAUGCCAUCCUUCGAAACAGUCUAAUUUCUUCAGAUUGUUGUGCAGAGUUGAAUAGCUCACUUUCUCCCACUCUCAUUCCGUUGGUUAGAUCUGCUAUCGCUAAAGUAUCAAAAGCUCUAACAACCUGAGAAGCAUAGGCAGGCUUAGAGAAAUGCACCUAACAUCUCCAAAUCUGGACUUUUAAUGGAGAAGCAAGAAUUUUCAGCUAGUUCAGUGAUCAAAUUGCAAUUACCUGUCCCAUCCGUGGCCUCUUAGAAGCUGAAUGCCGCACACAGGCCGCAGCAGCCUCAAUCAUCCGGAACAUUUCGCUUUCAAUGUAGUUCUUUUCAAGCCUUGGAUCUGCCAAACUUUCAAGUUCCUCAUUUUCUAGUGCAUGAUUUAGCAAAGGUCGAGCCUGGAAGAAAGGUAAGAAAAGUUUCAGCAUGAAAUUGUGGAAAAUCAAAUACCAGUUCAACACUUCUAUUUCUUUCAACAUGUGCAUUUUUUAGUUUUCUUUCUAUACAUUCCAAAAAAAAAUUACUGGAAAGAGAACAAAAGAAAACUACAAACAGCAGGAUUAUGUAUUCUCCACCACAAGGUACAGAGAAGAGGAAACAACAUCAAGACAUAACAUUGUUUCACCUCUGUACAUUUGUUUCAUUGGUUACACACUUUUUUUUUUAUUCUUGCACUGAGGAAUAUCAUAAUUAUGCAUUGAAUUUAAAUCAAGGUUCAGUAAGAUUAGUCCUAGAUCUGGGAAGGCUUUUAAUUUUCCAUGUACUGAGUUAUUUUCUUCAGUAUAAAAUCUAUAUAUGAUUAGAGGCCACAGGCCACGAAAUCAAUGGAGCUCCAGAAAACUCAACAGAACCCCGAUCCCCCACCCUGCAUACACCAAGGAAUAACAUCCACUCAAUAAGCAAAUCUUCCAAACAACCUAUUUCUAAAAUAAGCACACCUGUUCCUGAAUCAAACCACUAUGGGAAUAUAUAAGAAGUUCAGAACAGGUCUUGUAGCCUUUUUACCGAUUCUAUCCACAAUUCAAAUGUGAGAAACUAGUAGUGUUUCGAGCAGAAGGUAACCAUGUUUCUAUUACCCUUGUAACUAAUUUUCUAACAAAUGUAGCAACUUCAGAAACAUCUUCUCAUAUCAAAACUAAGCAGUGAGAAGAAAAACAUAUAACAGAAAGCAUAAAAAAUUACACGACUCAAACUAAGCUGUAUCGAUAUAACCAGAAACUUCAGGAUAAAUGAUCUAAUUGAAUUUAUCAUUUAUGCAUGCUGAAAUAGAAGGCAAAUCUUUAGAAUAGAUCUGCUCAGCAGACGAGGGUUGCUAAGAAUAAGGUCCACAAAGAGUAAUUGAUCCAUCAAUAAAACUGUCAUUCAAAUCCUUAUUACUAGCAACUAGGUUAUUGGAUCUGGAUGUAUCUUAAUGCAUGCUCCAGUUAACAAUCAACAAUUCGUGAAAAUUGAAUGAGUCUAUCGUCCAGAAGCAGAAUGCUAGCCAGGGUGCAUAAACUACUUACCCAUUCAACAAGACUCUCCUCUCCCAUGGGCUGGGAUGCAUCCACAGGCUUCCGUCCAGUGAUUAGCUCCAAAAGCACAACUCCAUAUGAGAAUACAUCAGAUUUCUCUGUUAAUUUGCCGCUUGAUGCAUAUUCAGGGGCCAUGUAUCUGAGUGAUCAAUUAAACAUUAGAUGCACAUAGACAUGGCUGAUAUAUGUUCAUUGCACAGGAAAAGAAAACCAAAUACAGCUGUACUUUGAAAAUAGUAUUCCCAUCAACUCCCGACUGCCCAAAAGGGCUGAAACCCUCCCUGCUCACACAAAAAAGGGCAGAGAGAGAAUAGGGGUGCCCCUCAGUGGCCCUGUAGUGGCAGGUAUUUAAGCAAAUAAUAGAUGAUCUCUUACCCAAAGGUUCCCAUAACACGAGUUGUUACAUGAGUGUUUGAAUCAAGAGCUAAUUUGGCAAGCCCAAAGUCUGAAACCUGCAAAUUAAAAUCUAGAAACAGUUAAACCACAAUCUAAUUGAAACUAAUCAUAAACAAAUGUUAAAAGGGAAAAUUGUGCAUACCUUAGCUUCAUAGUUGUUAUCUAAGAGAAUAUUUGACGACUUAAUAUCCCUGUGAAUAAUCCGAGGAUGACCUGAACAAAUAAUAGUAAAUCAAAUGAAUAACACCUCCACCAUAUGUAGUCUAAUAAGGAAACCCAUUCAUUAUUUUAGCGUUAAGGAAAUAGCGCACCUAUCAAUGAACAUUAUAUGGCUGGAGUUCUUAUUAACAUGUUCUUAACUCUAGAUCAUCAGUAGUACCAAAAUUGAUAUUUUCAUACUAAUCUUGAUUGAGGUAGAAUUCUGUAUGUGCUUUAAGGAUGAGAAUAUUGUGAAAUUGCAUUCGGUUAUUAGAUCCUUGUUUUUUAUUACUGAAAGUUGGAUCAUAACUUUUGAAAAUGAAGAGUGGGUACGGAUGGAUGGCUUAACCUUUCAAUAACAAGAAUAGGGAAAAGGAAAGCAGUUGCCAAGUGUUGAAAAAGAACAAAAAACAGGUGAAUAAUGUCUUGAGUUAAUUUUGGAAGUGAAUGUGAACAUUAUCUAGCUAAUAAAAUCCAGAUUUGAAAUACUUACAGUCUUCAUGGAGAUAAGCUAUUCCCCGAGCUGCUCCAGCAGCAAUCUUAACACGUGUUGCCCAAUCCAGAGCCAGCCCACCCACCCCUACAGAAAGAAAGACCAACAAGCAUGACUGAUGAUCAUUUUUAUGAACUGACAUGCCAAAUCUCAUCUAUAAGUUGUAGCUUUACCGUGAAGAUGGAAAUAAAGGGUAUUGUUAGGGACAUAAUCAUAUACGAGCAAUCUUCGGGUCUCACAUAUGCAGUAGCCCACAAGAGAAACCAAAUGGCGGUGGUGUACGCGACUAAUAAUCUCAACUUCAGCUUUAAAUUCUCGCUCACCUUGCCCUCCACCAAUUUUUAGCUGUUUCACUGCCACAUCUCUCCCAUCUGGAAGGUAACCUUUGUAUACAGAACCAAAUCCACCUUCUCCCAAAAGGUUUUGGGAUGAAAACCCAUUUGUCGCCUUGACUAGCUCUUCAAACGCAAACAAAGGCCUUGAAUUACCUAAUCCGCUUGAUUCAGUUGGCAAAGAAACACAAUCACUGCUAGAACCACUUGCAAUUAGGGGAGCCGUAGAAUGAGUCUUUGUGAAAGUUGAACCUGAGGGGGCAAAUUUGAAAAACUUCAGAGUUCUUGUCAACAAUCUCAUUCAAAGUGCUUAGCAGCAAUCUCAUUAAAUGCAAGUUUGCUAAGAAUAGAUUACCUUCUUAGUAGGAGAAAUCAGAAUAGAUUAACCAAUUAUCUGUAUUUUUAUAAGAUCCAAACCAUAUGAUUUAGUUUUGCCAUUUUUAUUUGUUAAAGAAAAUAUGCUCUCGAACAUUUGAUUGUAUAUCAGAUGCAGUUCAAUUGGCAAAAGUUAAAUCAAAUUAUGAGAAUAAACACCAACCGAAGUUUUGGGACCCUCUUGGCAGAAUUCCGAAUAGCGUUACCUAGUGACUAGGAGUGGUACUAUUGAGAAAAGUCAUAACAAGCUAAAGAAGCAAAGGUGAAAUGCUGUUUAAAAUAAACACCUGAUCUUGGAGAAGAGCCCAAAGAAGAUGGCAUAACAUAAACACCAUUGAGUCCAGAAAUCUCUUUUCGCCGCCUCCUCAUGCACCAGAGAGCCAGUCCAACAAGGCUGAGCAUUAUAAUUCCUAUUGCUGCACCAAUAGCCACCAUACCUCCAGUACCGAUGCCCCCAUUACCUGUGGAGUUUGAACUUCCAGGUGAAUUAGGGGCGGUAUUGUUCGUGGGUGAUGGCGGGGAAACAAGUGCGCGUGGAGGCGGAGCCAAUCUUAUUUUUGGCGGUGACAAUGCUGGUGGAUUGGAAUCUGAUGGGACAGGUGUUGCUUGAGGAGAAGUUGGAGGAGUAAGCCUAGGAGGUGGGGGCACAUUACUGGGACGAGGGGCUAUUGAAAUUGGUGGACGUGGUGAAUUCUCAGGUGGAGUUGAUGCUGGUGGUGGAGGUGAUCUUCGAGGAGGUGGCAAGGAUGCUGGUGGGGGGGUCGGAGGAGGUGGUGGUGGUGAAUUUUGAGGUGGCCUAGAUGAGGGUUGUGAUGGAGGUGAACUCUGAGGUGGCGGUGUUGAUGGUGGUGGAGGUGAACUCUGAGGUGGCAGAGAUGGUGGUGGAGGUGAACUCUGAGGUGGCGGUGAUGAUGGUGGUGGUGGAGAUGAGAUUUGAGGCGGUGAUGGAGAUGAACUUUGAGGUGGAGGUGUCGAUGAUGGUGGUGGAGAAUUUUGAGGUGGUGUUGUUGAUGGUGAUGGUGGAGAGGAACUUGUAGGUGGAUUCAACAGUGGUGGUGGAGGUGCAGUUGAUGGUGGAUUAGAUGGUGGUGGUGGUGGAGGUGAGCUCACAGGCGGAGUGGCUGAUAGUGGUGGAGGAGAAUUGGAGUUUGAUGGAGGAUCACUACUGGAUAAAGGCGGAGAACGUGAUGUCAUAGGAGGUGGUGGUUGUGGUGGAGGGGUUGAUGGUGUGGCAGGAGGAGGAUUAGAAACAGUAGGAGGAGGGGUUUGGGGUGGUGGUGAUGGAGCAGGAGGGGUUCUUGGGUCUGGUGGAUUGGCAUUGGGCUGUGUAGGUGGGGAAGUGGGAGGAGGAGAGGAGGCUUGUGGUGGUGAACUAGUAGAGGAUGGUGGUGGUGUACCGUUUAAAGGUGGUGGAGUAGCAGAGGGGGGUGAAUUUGGGGAUGGAGAUACAGUUGCCAUCACUACAGUUCCAAAUCAAGCGACUUCAAAUCACAUCACAGAAUUUAAACUUUCAUUGGCUUUUCACCAAGUUCUCCCAAUUCCAGUACGAAAGGCAAGGUUUAGAUCAAAACACACCCAUCAAUUUCAAGAAAUAACUCCAAAAUGAACAAACUUUAAAACCAAGAGAGAUUCAAAUCACCAAAACUUCACCAACCAUGCUCUGAAAAGUCACCAAACAUUCAUACUUGAAAUCACAGUAACCUCUUUGGAGCCAGACCCUAAUCACUUUCGGGCUUUUUAGCUAAACCCAGAUUUCCAAUCUCUUUACCCGCUAAAAAUCAGAUCAAGAAUCACAAACAAGACCAAAGCCACUUCACAACCUUUUAAGCAACACCCAAAUUGCUAAAUUUAGAGUAGAAUUUAAAAGACCCAGACUUCGAUCAGUAAACUGAUUCCAGCAACGCCAAUAAGAUCCUCUACAUUCAGCGGGCAAAUGCAGCGACACUUACACCAUUAAUUACUCUACAAACAAGAACCCAGAUGCUAAAAACUCAAGAAACCGUACCUUUCCUUUACUUCAGGUCAUUUGCAUUGCGGCCAAUAUCGGCUGGUUCUUUAAAACUCUCUCUCUCUCUCUCUCUCUCUCUCUCUCUCUCUGUCUUACCUACAUAUGAAGUUCAAAUCAGGAACACGGAUUGUGGGGUCUCAAAUCCAAAGCAGUGUCGAUAGAGACCGUCAAAGCUGAAGAAUAAUGAGGCAGUUUUUUUUUAGCAUGAAAAGUAAACAUUCACAGAUUUUUCAAAUCAUCAUCGUCUCCGUCAUAAUAGUGUUAUUAUUAAAUUAAAGGUCAAGGUCUAUUAAAGCCUGGGACUUGCUUCAUGGUAACGUCAAGUCCAUGAUAUAUUUUAUCAACCUACGACUCUUUUUUUCAUUAUGAACCUUCAAGGAUCAGCAUUCAUGUCUUUAGGCUCUCUUUUUUUAAUUUUACUUUAAAUUACUGUUUGGCAAUACUAGUUCGAUAAUGAUUGUAAUUUUCAAGUGUUUUAUAACACUUUGAAAGAUAAUAUCAUAAUUUUUUUAUAUAUUAUUUUUAGAAUAUUUAAUUUUUAACUUUUUAAAAAUCACAUUAACAACUAAAAACCAUAGCUUUAUCAAACUGAUUCUCUCAUUUGGAUCUUUUCUCCUGAGUAUUAACUAGAUUCUCUGUACCGGGUUUGUACAUUUAGAAAUUUUGUUUCGUUUUCUUUAAAUUAAUUGAAUAUUAGAUAAUUACACGUGGAACGAAACUUAUUAUUAUACUGAAAAACAAUUUGCUCAGGAUGAAAUAAAAGGUAUUCUCUCAUAAUUAAUUGUUACUCUCUAGAAACUAGGAGCUUUCCUUUGGUGGAUCUUUGUAUAUCAUAAAGUUAUUUAUUUAUUCGAUGUUAAAAUGACAUAGAUUUGAUAAAUUAAAAAAAAAAUCAAAAUGUGACUAGAUACCCACCUUCCCCACAGAUAAUGAUUUUUUUUUGUCUUCAGGCCUUGUUUGAUACUGUAAACUAACCCAUAAUGGUCUGUAAUCUGCAUGUUCAUUUGGAUUCUUUUUUAUAGUGCCCUGGUUUGACUGAAAUUAAUUAUUACAAAGCUAAUUUUAAUUCAACAUAGUUCUCAUAGCUUUUUAACUGGUGUUUUGGACAACUAUGAAGGUUAAAUUUUAAUAUUUUUAUUUUAAAAAAAAUUACUUUUAACAUUAACAUAUUAAAAUGAUAAAAAACAUUAAAAUAUUAAUUUAAAAUAAAAAAUAUAUAUAUUUUUCAAAAACACCGUGGAAUCCUAGCAUCAAACACCCCCUUAAAAUAAUACAUGUGAUGCCAUAAAUAAAUAAAUAAAUAAAUAUAUAUAUAUAUAUUCUCCAAAUAACAAAUCAACAUUGAUCUUGUAUAUGUAAGAGAUGCCAUUGUUUCUGUUUUAGAAAUGUUUCCGAUGAGAACAAAGGAAUGCUCAGAGUAAAAUAUCACCUCUAAUGCAGUAGAAUCUGCAAAUAUUCUUUCCAUCCAUCUGCAUUUCUUUAUAGGGUAAACUUGUGUCUUUACACCCCGUUCAAUCUUCUAUGCUUUAUUUAUUUUGCUACAUCCAUGUGAAUCUUGCACCUCGCAGAUGCAAUGGCCGUGUCGUGUGCGAAAAUAACUUGUAAUGUGUGACAACAAGCUCUCUGUUAUCAAUUUAGAUUGAGCUAUCGUACAAGAUGGUGAGUGGAAAUUGGAUGGGAGAAUAAAGAGUGGUGAACCAGAGAUUUGUCUGGUGAGAAAACUGUGGCUGACGCAGAGGUUGAAGAGGGGGGUCUCACGGCGGAAAAUGCCAGAUCAAAGUGGACAAAAUAUUAACAAGUGGUGGUGGGCCAAUUUUGUCCAAUCAUUGAGGCCAUCCCGUGAAACUUCAAAGAGAAAUUUUGUCCAAUUGUUUCCAGGUUUUGACCCUAUGAAAGAAUUAUAGAUUUUGAUAUUUUUCUAGAAAAAGUCUGAUCCUUUUUUACCAUAAAUUUAUGUUGAAUUACUCAAUUAUGUUCUAAAAAAUAUGACUUAGUCCCCUUAUAAUAACAAAUUAUAAAGUUUUUUUUUUUACAUUCUGAAAUGUAUUGAAUAGUAUUUUUAUUUUAUUUUUUAAAAUAAUAAAAAAACACAAAAAAAAAUUAAUAAAAUAAAAUAAAAUUUCAUAAAAUAUCAUUUGAAACACAGUCUCAAAUCACGUCUUAUAAUAAAAUUAAAUCCACUGGCCAUUUCCUUAGAAUCUAUUUAGCUUUUCUCCCUUUUCCUUUUCUAACCUUUCUCCCCUUCGCACGCCAUACAUGUUUUUCCUUUAAUCAAUUGCCUCCAGACUUUAUCACUGCAAUCUUUUUUCGCCUGGCAAACCUGGCUUCUUUAACUGAAUCUUAAUUUAUGUUUUGAUUUUGGACAUAAAUAGUUUAUUGCCUUUAAUUAAUCAAAUUAAAAAAAGUGUCGGUGGAGGAAGAUAGGCAAGCAAGCCGUAAAUUUGAACACACGCGUCCAUGAUUCAUGCAUGCACUUCUACAGCAAUUGGGACUUGUAAACCCGGCAAACUCCUAGUUAAUAAAGCCUAUUGAAUCGGUGCGAGUGAACCAUUAAUAUUAGUAAUGAAAUAGCUUAUACUAGCUUUGAUACCCGCGCGAUGCCGCGAGUUCUUUUAAACGUGAUAAAAAAAAGAAUCACUAUUUGAUAUAUUUACUAAAGCUGGCUAUCGUCUUAAUUUAAAUUUUUUUUAAAUGAUUGUUUAUGUAGCUUGGAUUUAAAAUUAAACCAUGUUGAUACUUAUUUUAAUAUGAUCAAAUCAACUUGGCUAGUUCAAAUACAUCAUGAUAAAUCAGUAAAAAAAAUACAAGGAUGAAAUUGAUAUGAAAAACAUUUUAGUCCAACUACUUACUUAGUUUAUAUUUAAAAUUAAACCGUGUGAGUUUUAUUUUGUCAUUACUCAAUGAACUUAAUUAGUCUAAAGAUAAUAUGACUAGCCAGUAAAAAAGGUUUAAAGAUAUAAUUUUUUUUUUUAAAAAAUAUAAAGUUAAUAGGAAAAAAAACUCUUGACCUAGCUUAGGUUUAAAAUUAAAUCUUGUAAAAAUUAUUUCAAUUUAAUUUAGUCAACUUGAUCAUUUUAAAAAUAACUCACACUAUUAUUAAAAAAUAUUUAGAAAUAAUUUUUUUUUAAAUGAAUAAAAAAAAUAAAGGACUAAAAAAAAGGGAGGGGUGGGGGAAUUGGAAAACAAAAGGUGCAAGGAUGAAGAGCUUUAAUAUUUGUCUCGAUGUUAAUUCUCAAGCCCCUUUGUAUAGAAGUAGUAAUAAUUGCUAGCCUAGAGUCUAUUUUAAUUACUAUUAAUUAAUUGUGCAUUCUAUUUUAGCUUUAACGCUUCUCGGUACAGAGAAAAGAGACAGCCUCGUAAGUUUUCAAAUGUCGGGAGCCAUUGGGUUACGUGGUAAGGUUGAUUUUCUCGACGACGGUGAUGUGCCGCAAUCUAUCGGUAGAGUGGUUACCUCUAACUUCAGAAGUUUAGCAUAGUUAUAAUAAUAUUAUGACAUGACAUCAACGAGGUAAUGUUUGUUCUUUUAGAAUGUUUUUUUAUUUAAAAAUAUUUUAAAAAAAUUAAAUUUUCAUGAAAUACUACUUCAAAUGCAAAUUUAUUUCUUCUAUGUAAAUAGUUUACAUAGUCGGAGUGUUUUUUUUUUUAUUAUCCAAACUUUUAUAAAAUAUUCAUAUUAAAGGUCUGAAAAAUAAUUUUUUAAAUAUGCAUCAUUCUGAUUUUACACGACCUACUUAAGAAUACAAGAAACUUCAUGUUGAAAGGGGGGAGAAAAACCAUUAAAUUGUCCAUUUAUUUCCUCCCUUCAAGCAUUUUCCAUGAAUAACCAUGAAAUUUCUCGCCUCGGGUGGUGGCACUUGGAAGAGGUCAAUUACGGAUUAUUUGAAGUGCUGCUACAUGGGCCCGAGGAACUAUUAACAAAGACUCUCAUUAAUAGUUGUUGAAUUCAAGGGAGAAAUUAUAUUUUAAAUGUUUUUUAUUUAAAAAUAUAUUAAAAUAAUAUUCUUUUAUAUUUUUUAUAUUAUUAUAUUAAAACAAUAAAAAAACACUAAAAAAUAUUAAAUUAGUUUUUAAAAAAUAAAUAAAAAAUACAGUCUGACCGACAGUACCUAAGAUUCCAGUUGAAUGUGUUUACACUGUUCGCUUGUAGGUUUGGAACUGUGGAUGGUUCGAAGAAAAGAAUGACUCUGACAUGACAUGUAUCUUUAAAAAUAAAAAAAUAAAUAAAAUAAAUAAAAAAUCAGGCAUGGGUCGGUGGGUAUUAAAAGAGGGUCGCUACAGUAACAAUAGUGGCAAAAAGCUGUACGGGCAUACAUGGUUGGAUUUGAGUUUGAUGAUAUUUAUUUUUCUGCAUCAUUCAAGAAUGUCUCUGCGCUGUUGUUUUAUGUUUACUGAAAUUUCAUCGCUGCUAAAAAAGUGCCCUUUUUUUUCUAAAUAAACGAGGGCUUAAUUUAGAGUGCCAGCAUUAGUAAAUAUAGCAUCAGUUAUUUAGCGACACUGACAUUGUAGCAACCAGUAAGGGAGGUCGAAGUUACCUGUCUGCCAAAAAAACAAAAACAAAAACCACCCUCAGUGUUUAGGGCCUCCACGGUAGAAUUGCUAAAAAACCCAAGAACGAUUUUUUAAAAAAUUUAUCACAAUAAAUUAAAAGUUUUGAUGGAAUAUAUUUAAUUUAAUUUUUUUUUAUAAAAUAACAUAUUUUUAAGUUUGACAAGAUAAUUGUCUUGAUUUAGAAUAACAAUAUUUAAACAUGUCAUAUUUUUUAAGCAUGACAACUACUAACCAGUAAAUCGAUUAGAUACAGUUAUAUAAUUGGUUAACUGUUUCACGCAAAAACCAUGAAUCAACAAAUUUUUUCUUUUAAAUAUGUUUUAUGAGUAAAAAUAUAUAUUUUUAUCCAACUUAUAGACUAUAAGACAUACUCUAAUUGAAAUAUUAAAAAGUUAUUAUUUAUAUAGUAUUUCUCGCAGGUGAUUCUGAGCAAUCAAGUAUGGUCUUGCUAUAAUUUGAUGAGGAUUUGCCCCAAAUAAGUUAUGUAAAAAACUUAACAUGUGCAUUUAUAAAACAAUAGAACAUGUCUAGGCUCAAGAGGAGGUCUGGUCGCGUUAUAUCAAAAUAAUGGUUUAAAAGAACCAUGAUUUUUUAUCAAACUAUUGAAUCGCGCUCAAAUUUUCACAAGAGUUUCAAGAGAUCGCUUUCCUUUUAAAUAGCAUGUAAUUUCUAUUUCGACCAUUGAAUUUUUAGAUUUAAAAAAUCUCGUUUCGAGACCUUGAUUUCGGCAGUUUCUUUACAAACCGGUCAAUCGAUUAGUCCUGAAUUUAAAUAGAUACAGUGAUGGUAGACGGUGACAUCAAUUAUAAUUUUGCUAUGGCUUCUAAUAACGAUAUUCAAUUGAUAUUCUAAUAAUAAUAUUCAAUUGAUAUUGUGGUUUACUACUAUAAUAUUUAAUAAAAUAUCACAAUUUCCAGUGAUAACAUCUAAAAAUGUUAUUUUACCAAAAAAUUUUGCUUAAAUAUAAUUUCUCUAUUUAUUUGCACUUUUCAUGCUAAUUGUACAAUAUAUAUAUAUAUAUAUAUAUAUAUAUAUAUAUAUAUAUAUAUAUAUAUAUAUAUAUAUAUAUAAACAAACAAUAUGAAAGGUUCAUAAUUCUGUAGCCUCGAAGAACCACAUGCAGCUAGAGAUCGACCCAUGAUAGGAUCAUGUCAACUACUAGCCUAUUGCUCCUAGUCUACAAGACAUUUGACUUUUAGUACCUCGUCUCACCAACAGCAACUAGGCCUUGCACUGCUGCACGUGCAAGCCAUCGUAUAGCUUAAAAACAAGAUUGCGGACCCUGUUUCGAACGAUUUCCUUUGACUACUCAGAACUCAACUGAGCUUUUAACGAGUCAAUAAAUCUAUGCAGACAUAAACAUGGGCACGAGCCACGAGCACAAAGCAGAAUGCAUAGGCACGAGCGAAUAUUCAAGUACGUAUCUGAUAACAAGAUACAAAUAAUUGGAUGUUUUUAGUUUGUGUUUGGUAAUGAUAUGUAAAAUGAUUUUGAAAAGUAUUUUUUGAUAUCUUUUUAUAUAUAUAUAUUUUUUAUUUUUAACACUAACUUAUUAAAACCAUAAAAAAAACCUUAAAUACAUUAAGUUAAUAUUUUUUCAAGUAAAAACCAAUUUAAAAACACAUUCAAAACAGAAAUUACUACAACAUCAAAUCAACAUUUAGAUGAUUUUAAAAUUUUUAUAUCAAAACCAUUCAAAAACAUAAAAACUAAAUAAUUUCAGCCCAAACACACAUGAUCAUAACAGCCUUAUUGAUGUUUCGUCAAGGAAACAGUCAUGCAUACAUCACAAGCUAACAUUUGAAGAGUUUCAUUGCUGCUUUAGUUGGCCAGAGGACAUCAAUGAAAAUUGCAACCCCUUACUGAACUUUUCACAAGAAAACAAAAAUAUUAUUACACUUUCCUUUGAAAUUUAAGCAUUACUGGAUACAACAGUCGUUACACUAAAUUCUGGAAUUAGAACUCUUUGGUCGUUAGUUGCCUAUGACAAACCCUGUGACGACUCGGGAAUGAACCUCUUCGGCUACCUCUGGAUUCAAUCUAAUCAGUUAUCCUUCCAUACUCAACGACCAAACCAGGUCCUGCAACGAGAGCGUAUCAGUUAGACAGACAGCAGUAGCCAAGGGAAUGUCUCAACCUGAAAGGGAAGGAUAAAAAAUGAGUGGAUGGACGAGGAGAUCAGUUUUGCUUCCUGGCCAGAAUAGAGUUUCUUCUUGAAGAAAUCUCAGCUGCCCAGCUCUUUCCUAUCGCAGUUCGAAAUUUUCCUACAGAUAAAAGGGAUGUAUGAAUAUCAUGAACAAAAAUUUUGACACGGUAAAAUUAUAUAAUCAGAAAGCUCCGAUCGUAUGUAGUUUGAGAUGAACAAGUAGUAGAUUCUACCUGCUGCUGAAAAGAAAAACUCAUCCAACACCUUCCCUUGUUCUGUGAAAACAUGACAUCGAAUGAGAAUUCCUUGGAAGCGGAACAUUUAAUUUCAUCAGAUAACCUACCCAUUUCAUAUUCCAGUGCUCGCAAAAUCAUCUCAACCUAAACAUGAGACUCGGAACUUUAGAUUGCUAACAAAGAAUUGAACAUGGGAAGGGAUAUACAAAUAUAAAUGCAAAUCAAGUGCUAUAAGAAAAUGUGGUUUAUGGAUUUGCUUCAGGAGAGCGUAAAACUUCAUUGGUUUAACACAUUGAAGUUGAUUCCAGUAGAAGCUUUUUAUAGCAUUAACACUGGGAAGUUUUCCGAGUGAACAUCUAGCGAGAGAAAGGGAGUCACCAAACAUUUCAACAGCAACCGGUGAACAUAUUAAACACAAAUUGAGGAGGAUCACAAUGUCAGUGGAUGGAAGAAGUCCCUGGGCAGUAACCAAACUACUUUAACGUUUUUAUUUUAUUUUUAAUAAUUCCCUUAAUCCUUAACACAUAACGGCCAUCAGAAACAGCUUCCUGCAGCUUUUCCAAAAGACUGGUCAUCAAUAAUUCAAAAGUAGAUGGGGAUAUAUGACACACCUGGCAAACACAAUUGAUUUGAAUACUGUCCUGUGUUUCAAUGACUUUCACCGCACAUUGCAAUAGCAAGAAAAUCAAUUGAAGAAGCAUUUGGAACCAUAGACCUGUUCCUUUAUAGCAUCAUUCAAAAAUUCAAACUUUGUCAAAGUCUUCGACAAGGUUGGCCUCCAAGGAAGCAUUGUUUUCAUACUCUGCCCAUAACUCUUUGAUCUCUUCAGCUGAAAAAAUGAAAAUAUUUAGUUCCAGAAAACUCAAAGCUGAAACUGCUAAAAGUCAAGAUAGCAAGAGUCAGUAUUUGAGUAACCCUCAGUCCACCAAGAACUCAACACAUUUCAUUUAAAGCCGCUUGCUCCAGCCUACUCUUUUCUUGUUUAGGCACACCAUUUGAUAUUGUUAUAUCUCCAACAAUAGCUAUCAAAGUCCAAAUCCCAACUCAAAAUUCAAAACUCCAACAAAAUAUAUGUGCAUAUUUUGCAAAAGUAAAACACAAUAAGCUCAAUUAGAUAUAUAAAAAGAGAACUAUUACAAACAUGGAAUAGAAUCCCCAAUCAAUGCUGUUGUUGUUGUAGGGCUCUUCUCCCAUUCUACAAUCAUCAACAAUACACGAUUCUGAUUUCUGACUGCAAAACAAAUAUUUGCAGACACACAUUGUUCUCUUACUCAUUAGGUGUAAGCUUGGGUAUGCUCUGUGGACUAUUAUGGCUUUGGAGCAUCAACUUGUACGUUUUACUUUUAUGGCCUGACAAGAGUCAAAUAGUGACAAAUUAACAGUGUCAAAUGUGCUCAUGAAACACAUUGAUAUCUGCUCUCCUAAUUUUUAGCCAAAAUUCAGUUUUAAGUGAGAGAUCUAUUCUCCAAUAAUUUAGUCCAUUUUUUUCCUGAGGUGGUGAUCUAUUCAUGACAUGCCAAGGCUGAAGCAGUACAAGUAAAACAUCGAGCCAUUUAUGCAGCAAGGAGCUAUUUUCAAAAAAAAAAAAAAAAACAUUAUGGAUUCAAGAUAUGAUUUUGCUUACGCAAAAUACCAUAACCCCGCGCCCCCACAUAGGCCCAUACCACCACCAAAUCCAUGCCCUAUACAUUCUCAAAGAAUCAUGUAAAUUUCCAUUAGAGCAUAAAUGAACCUGUAUCAAUGGAAAUAACAUAUCAUUUAUCAACCAUAUUGAUCAAUUAAAAGAAUCCAACAUAAUACCAUCUUUUUCUACCAGUCUACUCUGUCCAAAAUACGAGGCAACCAAGUGUCGCUCAAAGCUAAUUUAAGUGGUAAAUUUGCAACAAUGGCUUGUUUUAAGAAUGAAAACUACAGGAAUACAUUAGGUGACUUUUUUAAGGACCUGUAAAUUAUAUGGGUGCUAGAUACAGUAUCAACAAGUAGAGUUAAUCAGAUAUCCAACACCAUCCUGCCUCUAUUCUCCUCAAAAGACAAAAAAAAUGAUUUAGUCUAAUAGCAAAUUGAAUCUCUGGUUUCUCUCUUCUGAUUGAUAACCCAAGACUUUCCUGUUUGAUUAAAGCCCAAUAAUCUUCCCUUGUAUCUUAGCAUGGCAUCAAACCAUUUGUUUCCAAUUAAUCAUAACAUUUAUGUAGUUAAAUCAUUUAUAAAUUGGUCUAUUCUGCCCCAUGAUUCAAGAGUGUAAAUACACACAUUGACUUUCUUGAAAGUGCACACAAAGAAAGAAAAACACAAGUCUUCUCAUGAUAUAAACUGUUUAACCUUUCUGAGUUCAGCUUUUCACAGCGAACUAAAACAAUCAUCAGCAAUCAGAGCCAUCAAUGACACACUGUACAUAUGGUCAGCAAUUGAUUCAGGACCCUUUAUCCAAUGGUUGAUCCAUCCCUUCAGUUUUGUGAUCUGAGAGAGAGAGAGAUUAGACAUUUCUAAAAUGUAAUCUAGACCUUUACCUACAUCAGAUCAGGCUCACAUAGAGUAAAAAGGCAAGAAGAAAAAAAAAUCAAAUGAGAACCAAAUAUUUUGCUCAUGAUCAAAGCAAAGAGAAGUGCAACAAAAAAAACAUUAAGAAGCAUAUGUAUACAAGGCAUAAAUACACAAGCACGUACGCACCCAUGGUAUUUGAAAAACAAAGGAAAGGAAUACUGGCUCCAACCUCUUUCAGAGUUGCUUACAGGUGAAACAAGCAGAACUUCAAGGGGCUUUUGUACCAUAAUAAGCCACUUGAAAUCUUGAAUAUAUGUUUAUCUCAUGUAGCGGAGACACUAAUUCUAAAACACAUUACAUUGUCAAGGCUGAGAAUUUAUGAUGGAGAUUUCAAUUACAGGUACAGGGGCCACUCGAUUUCCAUCAUGCAAGGUUUCACUAUAAUUCUUAAAGCACAACAACAGUAGUCUGGUAAUCUCUGCAGACCAAGCUAGAGCAUAAUUUGCAUAAACUCAUCGGUGAGAACACUUAGUACAGCACAUGCACAUGGAUUUAUGGUAAAAUGGGAUGCCCUUAAAUGCCAGUUUUGAAGUCCUACUUAAUGUAACAAACACAAUAAUAUCCAAUCUUUGCACUGACCUUCAUACACAAUCCAAUCCAGUCCUGACAAACUAAUCAACUAGAAGGCAACUCAAUAAUUACUCUCCUUUACUCCAACAAUAUCAACAAAUUUGCUUAAGCUUAUAGUCCUUACAAUUUGGAAAGCCAAAUCGCUGCUAACUUUUAGGGAAUAAAAAAGUGAAUAGAACAAGAAUUGGAUGAUCUUGUUCUUGCAUUGAUUUCUAACCUAAAAUCAUGAUUUCUUAAUCAAUCACAGACACAAAUUAUCUGCUCUAAACUGGAAAAAGAAACCCCAUUUCAUAGUUAACAAGAAAAAGGUGAAAGCUUUUCCAUUUCCCAAUCUAUAUUCUAAGAAAAGAAAAGCAAUCCUUUUCCCACUCUCAUUCAUACCUUCAAUCGAUGGCACAAUGUAGGGAAAUCAAUAGCCGAUGGAGCUGAUGAGUUACCCGUCAUAGAUUCGGACUCCUCAACGGAUCUCAUGGAUCCUCACCCUUCCGAAUUAAGCUUUUCUCAGCGAACUAAAACGAUUCUUGGGUUCGGAGCUUCGUAUAAGAAAAUGGGCUGCCUCCGUUUAAAGAAAGCAAGGGAGGAGCGAGUAGGUGAGGUGAACUCAGUGGAGGAGUACAGUGAGCCCGUGUAUUAACAACCAUUAUUUUUUUUAUGUUCGGUUUUGUUCGGUUUCCGUUGUGUUCUACUUGGUCUCAGACACCGGAAAAAGAAUGUCCUCUCUUUAACUCGCUGUCACUCCUGCAGACGCCCACUGUAAUAGGGAAUCUUUCAUACCUUUUUUUUUUUUUAUCUCCCUCUUCUUUCUUUUUAAUUUAAAUUCUUAAAAAAAGACAGAAAGAAAUUGUUUCAUAUCGAUUUUCUAUUGACGAGCAACAAAAUACAUUGAUCAGCUGCGUAUAUAUAUAGGUAUAAUCUGUAUCGACAUUGUAGUGUCGCGUAACUGUGAAAUUAAUUAUUAUCGAUUUAAAAAUUGGCAAUUAUGUGGACUGAGAGCAUCAUUUUUAUGAUUAAGUUUAAUUUUUAUGCAAAAGAAUUAUAAAAGAGUUUAUAGAAAAAUAUGGUUUGUCGGGAUUGUCAAUCUGGCAAAGAUACAAAUACAAUGAAUGCGGAGACGCGCCAAUCCAGUGAACCAAUCCCGCUCAUUCAUCGACUUGUCUUUUAAGUUACAAUCGAGUCCCCAAGCGUUGAAGAGAUUCACAAGUGGAUCCUUAUUAGUUUCCCUCGCCAGUUCUAUCGUCAACUAAGGCUCCGUUUGUUUGCAGGAAAGUUGUUUCCUUUUAGAAAGUGAAUUCCGGGAAAAUAUUUUCUGAUAUUUGGUAGUGUUAUGGAAAAUGAACUGGAAAACACUUUCCAGUGUUUGGUUAUGUUAUGGAAAAUGAACCGGAAAAUAAUUUAUUAAUGAAUUAAUUUUUUUUUCAAGUUUAUCUAAUAUAUAUUAAAUAUUUAAUAUAAAUAUUUAAUUACUUACAAUAAAAGAAUGAAAUCUAAAAAGUAUAAUGAUAAAUUUUUUUUAUUAUAUCUUAUAUUCAUACAUAGCUUAUUUUAUAAAAUAUAACUAUAUAUGUCAUAUCAUAUUAUAGAGAAAUAAGCUUGUGAAAUAUUUUUUAAGUUAAAUAUUUUUUUUUUUAAUUUUAAAAGCUUAAAAUAAGUUUUUUUUUUCAUAUGAAGAAAGCCAAAUUAGUUUAUGGUAAGAGUUAUAUAUUACAUUAGAUUAACAACUAUUUUAAUUUUAAUUUUUGGUCACUGGGAACCAAUUAAAUUUAAUUUAGAAACAAAAAGAUUACAAUAAAAUGAUUUAUAAAAUCCUUAUGUUUGGAUGCUGGGCCACCCACCCCCCUAAAAAAACAAAGAAAUCAUCAAAAGUCAUAAAACGUUCACAUGUUUUGUGAACAAAGGAAAGGAAAGUGUUUUCCUUAAAAUAAGGAAAGGAAAACACUUUCCUGGCUUAAAGUGUAUUAUCUUCCUUUGACCGGAAUUUGGAUUCCUUUGACUAGUUUUCCUUAUAGUUGUCAAACAUGGGAAAGUGGAGAAAAUAGUUUCCAGGAAAAUGAAUUCCUGGAAACAAACAAGGCAUUAAUUACAUGCAACCGUCCACUACUUUUGAAUUAAAAAAUCUCCAUAACAAAUCCCGAGGGAUGAGAUUUAUUGGUCAGGUUCUAGAUUUGUUCUCUAAAUAUUAUCAGUUCGAAUCUCACAAAUUUCAGGAUCACUAAAGACUUACAUUAUUAUUAACUUCAGGGCCUAUAAAAUUAAUCAAGAUACAUAUAAAAUAGCCCGAAUACCAAUGUUAAUAAUAAAAAAAAACAUCUCAGUUCCUUUUCUACAAGACCCUCCUAAAGCCUUUAUAAAUUUUCUCUCCUCAGAUAAUCAGUCAGUGUAUGCGAAAGAUAAAAGAAUAUCUUUCGCAGAUAACGACAACUAGACAUCUUGAUGUACCUAACGAGAUACAAGCUAUAAAAGAAUAGAUUAGAUUGGUAGAAAAGCAAGCAUCUCAUCAAUGAUUCAUCCUUUUUUACCAUAACAGUUGGACCCAUCUAAUCAUCCAUAAAAUAAACAAAUUAUAACGGAAAAUAGAUUUGUUAUAGAGCUAAUGCUGCGUAAACUUUUUUGAAUAACAAAUUAUACUGGGAGGUUUAAUUUAUAUGGAACCCUUGACAUUUCUAUUACUUUUGCAAUUGUUUUUGACAGUUAGAAUAAAAUUGCUAUAAAUAAAAGCUACAGAAUAUCAUUGCAACAAUUUGCUUUUUAGAAACUAAAAUAAAAUUGCUGCAACAAGUUACUUGGAUGAUGAGGACAGGUUAAUGGCAUCAAAAUACUGUACGUUCCUAGCAUCCAAGUUUUUAAAGUUACAAAAGGAAAAACUACUUUUCCGACAUAAAACUUGUUUUUUUUUUUUAAUGUAAAUCAGAUAAACCUCAAAUAAGCAUCUAACUACUACUUGACGUGAUCAGACCAUCAGCCCUGGUUUGUCAUGUUUAGCUUAAGUAGCUGAAAAGCAGUGAUUUGGAGGUGCUUUUGCAAUUAGUUUGCAAACGGGCCCGUAAAGAUUUGGUGACUUGUCUUCAUGAAGAAGGUGUAUUAGAAGUCGGAAUGGCAGAAGUGAUCGUGUUGCUAGGCUUGAGCAGUACAGUAUAGUAACAUGUUCAUCUUAAAAUUCUUCGACGCCGUCGAAAGAGCUUCACACCAUACACUAGCAAGUAAUUAACAUGUUCAGUUCAAAAUAAGGAAAACGGCUCUGUUUUACUUUGAGAUUUUUUGAUCAAAACGUUCUAUAUGCAGGAGAGCUUGGUCUCAAACUUUCACGAGGCCUAAUGACGUCGAAUUCUCUAUCCAUCUUUCAGAUUUUGUUCAAUAGCAGAAAAGGGAGGAAAAAAAAAGCAAAAGAGAGAGAAAGGAAACUAAUUGCACAGAAGGUUCAAAACGAUUUGUUCAACAUUAGUUCUACCUGUUUGGUACUAUAUUAGUUAUGUCUACUGGGGCAAUAUUGAAUUAGAAUUUUGUUUGCGUGGCUUCUUUUAUUAUUCGGCACAUAGUUUGUUUUGCAAUUUCUGUUCUGCUGUCUUUUUUUUUCUUUUAAUUGUUCUUCCGUUAUUGUUAAUUUAAGAUAAAAACAAGGGAUUUUCUUGGAAACAAAGGCAAGGUCAAUAAUUAUUAAGUCAAUUAAUAUAGACUUGCCGAAUCUCCUUUGCUAGAACCAGAGGCUAAAGCAGAGAAAAAGAAGUAGCAGAUCAACAAUAUCGGCUACGGACAACAGGGCAUUAAAUUAAUGAACAAAAUUUGGAGUGCACUGUGCAAGACGAGAAUCCUAAAAAUAGCUGCAUAACAGCGAAACCCCAUCUUGAUAAAAGACUUGGCCUUUCCAUGGCAUGAAGCACCUACAGAACUAGAAAGAGAUCUCCUUUUCUUCAACAGCACACCAUUUUGAGUAUGUCGGCACUCUCCGCCUCUCAUCUGAACAUAUCCGUAGCCAUAUUCCACAGACAGUAGCGGCAGUAUGCCCAGAAGCACAAAAUAUAUAGCAGAAGACAUCAUGUAUAGUACAGCGCUUGAAACUUCUAACUGGCGAAAGUUUUGGAGAAUACAGAGAGAUCACUGAAGAACUAGACAUGUAGAAACCUCACCAUGAACAGUGAAAGAAGAUUUGUGGCUUGUGAUUAUUAGCAGGAAAUCACAAAAGUAAACGAUCAUGGCCAACUUGACAGAAGCAAUAAAUCUUGAAACGUAGUAAAGAAAAAUGAAGCAAAUAAAUCUUGAAACGUAGUAAAGAAAAAUGAAGCAGUGUAGACAGCAAAUGAAGUGAACCCAAAGGCCAAACCCAUGCAGAAACAUCAACACUAGAGUAGGGCAACGCAGAAACAUCAAAACCAGCAGUAUGUCAGCUAUAGAUUGACCAGGUUUGAAGUUUCUCAUCACCCAAAAGAUGAUUUGGAGCAUAAUGCAAUAGCAAUAGCAGUUUAGAUUGCAGAAAAGUCCGAACAGAACAGUGUAAUUGCCGAAAAAAUUGCUUUUUUUUUUGUCAGCCUGAUUGGAAGUGCAAAGAACAUGUAAACCAAAAGCAGAUAAAAACAGCCAUAUGAUCUACCAGAGAUAAACUGGGGAACCAGUGCAGCAAAAUGAUGGAGAAUCUGAGAGUAGCAGCGUUAGUCAUAGGCAACACACUGUCAUGAAUAUUAAGCUUCUUGUCCCCUUUGCCCACAAAUAUUUAGAUCACAGAACAAUAAUGAUCGUCCAAUCCAAAUAUGGUUAUUCUCAAGAGACUUCAAGAUAAGCCCGUCUUCAGAUUUUGCAGGAAGCAUGCGCGUGUUUUUCUCGGAACACUUUCUCAAUUUUUUAAUUAUAAUUUUUUGUUAUAGAUCUUUUAUAUAAUUGACCUUUUUCCGGUGUUAUUUUUUUGGGUAAUUUAUUAUUUAUAUAUUUUUAAAAUUUACGAGCUUGUAAUUUUCUUUGGGUAAAACAUUUGGGUUGUCAAAUGACUUGAAUUACUCGAUUGGGUAAAACAUUUGGGUUGUCAAAUGACUUGAAUUACUCGAUUGGGUAAAACAUUUGGGUUGUCAAAUGACUUGAAUUACUCGAUUGGAUAAAACAAACUGGGUAAAAAAAUUUCAUAUAAUCACUUCAAAUUGCGAAUUUAAUUUUAUCUAAAUUAUUCGAAUGCUCAUUCUCAAAUAACGGUCUAGCAAUAUUAAAGAGAAAAAAAUAAAUUAAGCUCAGAUGCACUGGAAUCUUUUCUGCUGGGAAAAAUCAUAGGUUAGUUAAUUGUAUGGUUGUUGAGGAGUUGCGUAAUCGCCUGACAUCGAGUCUUGUACAUGUGCGUGAUGCAUGGAAAAUUCUCCAGAUGCAUGGAAAAUUCUCCAGGAGCUUCAUCUGUAGUUUUUAAUAUACACGCAUUGUGAAGGUUCGACCUUCUGUGGGUCAGAAGUAAUUAUUCUUUUAUUUAAAGAAGACCUUUUUGGAUAUGCGUGGAUGCUUUCGCAUCACCAAGAUUAGUAUAAAUUUGAAUUUUCAAUAAUACUUGUUUUACAUGCCAGAGAAUGCUGAAAUAUUAUUUCUCUUAUAAAAAUGUUAUUUCUUAAAAAUAUUAAAACUUCAGUAACAUUAUUCAUUGCAUUAUUUUUUUCACUAGUUUUUUUUCAAAUCUAUAUUUUUUCGAUUUACUUUCUACGAAAUUAUCCUAAUUUCAUAACCCGUGAAAUGAAUUUGACGAGUUCAUCCGGAUAAUAUUUUUGUUUUUUCAAUUCAAUCCUUUAAUAUUAUAUUAGUUUAGAAUCGUUAAUGUUAGUUUUAGAUUUUCUUCAAGUCGACUAGGUCAUAUCAUAUUGUUAAAAUAGUCGUGUAUCAAAUAUAUUAAAAGCUCUUCUAAAUAACUUUUAUAAUUAGAGUGCACAUGAACUAUAUUUAAAAAAUAAUAAAAAAUAAUAUUAUCAAUUUAACUAUUCUAAAUAACUUCUAGCGUUCGAGAUGCUCCUGAUAGCUAUUGCCCCUGAAGAUGCCCAGAACCUAGUGAGCUACAAAGAUUAGGCAGUGAAAGAAUCAAACGUGAAGCUUCGAGCAGCUCCUAAGUCAUAUCUAAAAUCAAGUCAUGGUACAGAUAAAACUUGAUAUCAAAAGUCAAAUAAUCAGAAUCACCUUCUGAUUAAUUGAAUAUGAAUUUAUUGUAUUUGGAUAGUGUAAAAAAUCUAACAAAUAUAUAUUCAACAAACUUGAAAAGUAUUAGGUUAUCAAAUUACUUUUAACUCAGUCAUCAAAUUUUACUAGAAAAUUCAACAAACUUGACUCUCUGAUCAGUUUAUAUAAGAAGUAAUUAACACAACUCUUUUAAUUAUUAGGUUCAAGAUUUUAAUACGCUGUCGUUGUUCCCAGGAGCACAGCCAGUGGAGGUGUG
rnacentral:lncRNA from 1 species